UUCGUGAUAUGUCUCCAAUGCAUCCCAAAUUUCUUUUGCAGAUUUGAGAGAAGAGACCUUGUCAUAUUCAGCUUGAUUCAGCCCAUUGAUUAAUGUACUCCUUGCUUUUCCAUUGGCAGCAACCUUUGAUAGCUCGUCCGCUGUGAGAACAUCAACGUCCUUGACUUUGCCAUCGCUAUCAAGAUAUUCAUAAGGACCUCUUUGCACAACUCUUUGCAUUAGGGGAUCUCUGGAUAGAUGAGCCUCCAUUUGGCCUUUCCACCAAUUGUAGUUGUCAGAACCCGUGAGGAGGGGAGCUCUAAAAUCGGACUUUCCCUGAAAGUUAUCAGCCAUAUCGAUCGAUACUAUUCCUGUUACAGAAGUAUUAGUACAACCUGGCUCUGAUACCAAAUGAAAUUACACACCUAGAGGGGGGGUGAAUAGGUGCUAUGACUAAUAUACCCGAUUUUUAUAAGUUACCGAAUAAUUAAUCUGUCAAAGACAGCCUGCUGUUAAUUUUCAGAGUAAACAGUUAGCCUGCUAAUAAGAUAAAUGCAAUGCAGAUAAUGUAAAGCAGUAUGCUAGCAACACCAAGAAUUUUAGCCAGGUUCGACCCCUAACCCUAAUGGUCUACGUCCUGGUCCCCUACCAACUGGUAAGAGAUUAUAUUAUUAAUCAAGAAAUGUCAACGAUUACAAGAUUCAAUAAUAUAACUCCCUUUCUCCCUUGUUCCUGUUAUCAGCCUGCUGAAACCCCUGAACCACGAACCAAAAGCCUACCAAGACCUAUACUUCCCAAUUAUACUCUUCUAGCUAAAUAGUUCCCUUGUUCCCUUGUUUCACAAGCUCGAUACACAGCAACAAAACACUACACCUUGAACAAUACAGUGAAUAAGUGUAAUACAACCGAAACUAUGAACUCUCAAUAUAGAUAUGUAUGCAAAUAUAAGUACUAGAGCUCAACAAAAGAUUUAGCAAUGUAAAGAGUUGUAUUUCAGAAAGCUUUGUGUGUUUUUCUUGUUCUUAAAAACGAAAUCACACUCAAGUAUUUAUACAUCACACUAACGGUCAUAAUCCAACAAAUUUCCAACGAUCUUGGUAUUAAGAGUAAUUUGGAAUCUAGCUUGGCUUUCACGAAUGGAUUCUCCCUUCUUGAUAGCGAAGCUUCCAAAUUCUUUCAUGAGCUUUCCGAGCUUGACCUUCUUUAGACCUUGUGAGCCUUCAUGAUACGUUUCCAAUGCAUCCCAAAUUUCCUUUGCUGUUUUGAGAGAAGAUCGAUUUGAAAUAAAAUCUCCUAUUUGUUAGGAAAACGUUUUUGAAUGAAACUCUUUAUAAAACUGAGCUCUAAUAUUUAUAUCAGAUAUAUAUAAAUAUUAGAAUCCUUACAAAGUCGUUUCCUAUUAAAUCUCCUUGAAAAAUAGACUUUGAUCUUUAUCCGAUUGUUUCUCUGUUCACGCUGUACGCCUGCUGAUAGCUUGUAAAUAUUCCUGUAAGCUUGCUGACAGCUAUAAUCAUGCUAACAUCCUGAAAUACUGUUAGUCCGCAUACACAACCUUUGAUAGCAUGCUAACACAUAUCAGUUUCAUGUUAUUAGCUUGCUGUUAGUGUCAUCAUCAAAACCUUGAGAGUAUCAUCCCCUACAUGUCUAUUUUGUGAAAAAAAGCACACACCAAAUAAUAAUUAAUUUUAUAAAUAUUUCUCUUGAAUACCUCUAAUUAAUGUUUUGAAAAUGAUGGAACCCUUCAUUAGUGUCUUGAAAAGGUGAAUUCAACCACUUUAAAUAAGUAAAGCCUUGGAAGUAAAAACUAGGGGAUAGAUUCGAAAAACUAUCUUUAAAUUUGUUCUGAAAAUAUAAAUGGCAUGUAGAUAAGGAAAAUAAUUAUUUUGAAAAUGGACGUGUAAAAUUGGGAUAGAGGGAGUAAUAGAUUUUUAGUUAUGGUAUAGAUUUUUACUAAUUAAAAUAUUAUUAAUAAUGAUGACCCUUGCAAGUAUAAAAUCUUCAUCAAAAAUAAAAAGCAGUACCCAAUCUCAUUUUAAUAGUUCAUUUUAUAAAUUUCACAGAUAUUUAGAAAACUUAAAUGUGAUCAUUUCAUUCUCAUAUUCAAAAUAAUACAAAAGGGAAAAUGGGAGGUACAUUUAAAAUUAUUUCCAAAUAUUUUUCUCAAAUUUUAGUUGACAAUUUUUGCUCGGUUCAACUCACAUUAAUAAUAAUGAGACCGUGUAUGCAAAUAAAUCAUCCAAUUAAAAUCAUAGAAUCUAUGUGUGUCACGUCAUUUAAAAAAAUUAGGACAAAUUUGGGAUAUGUUGCAUUACUCAUAGAACAAUCAUAUUUAUUACACGGUAAGUGGAAUAUUAAUUAAUUACAAUGCACUUCAAUACGAAAUUUUCUCCGUUUCUAAUCAUACGAUACAUCCAUCUUCACUACAACACUAAAGGGUUAUUUUAAACAUACUUCAAAUUUAAGCAUAAAUACUGAGUUAAUCUCUCAAAUUUUAGCUUUUAUUUAAAAUAUUAUCUCCAAUAUUUUAAAAUUCGCAGUUUUGGUCUCAAAUUCGCAGUUUUGGUCUGAACUUUCACCAUGAAAUAUUUAAAUGAGUUUUUUAGUGUUUAAAAUCUUUAACUUCUAUCUCAAAGUUGCAUAUAUAAUAGAGUAUCGACACGAAAAAAAUUUCACAGGUUUUUUACUAUCCAUAUACAAUGAGUUGUUGAGUGCGUGUCAAACUAAAUACCACGUCGAAAAGAUAAAAAAUAUUAUCUUGACUAUAAGCAGUCAAACAACUCUAUUAGUAUGAGACUUUUUAGGAAGAGUCCAAAAACAAAUUCGUGCGGGUUUGACCACAGUCCAAUGCGGAUAAUAUUAUACCAAUGUGGAGUUAAUAGGUAUUGUGCGGCGCAACAAGUGGUACCCAAGCCAAUUGUUAGGAAGUUGAUCCUAGAGUUGCAGGUGGUACUUGCAUUAAAUUCCCAUUCUCCAAGUACUUCGAAAUAAUAUAGACUAAAAAAUUCAAAAACAAAAAUAAUAUUUUUAAAUAGUACUCUCUUUGUUAAAUAAUAGUCAUUUUACGUAUUUUUAAGAGUUUUGACCGUAAUUUUUUUUUUCUGAAUAAAAAUAUGACACUUACAUUUUUAUUCAAAAAAAAUUAAAAUUAUAUUUAUAAUUGUACGAUCAAAACUCUUUAAAAUACUUGGAAAAAAGUCAAGUGACUGAUAUCUUAAUAGAGGGGGUAAAUAAAGGAGACUUGUGAGAAUGUUGAGAAUAAUUAUCCUGCACGUUCUUAACAAUACAAAACAACUAUUUUAUAAUUAUUAUAUUUUUUUUCUGAUAUUAUGAAGGCGUUUGGGCAAAUUUUAAAAAAAUAAUUCCGUGCUUAAAGUAAAUAAGUGGAUUAUAAGUAAGAAGUAGAUAAGUUAAGGGGCCGUUUGGAUGAGCUUAAAAUAAGUGUUUAUUGCUUAAAAUAAAUAAGUGGAGUAGAAGUUAGAAGCAAGAUAAGACUUAUAAGUGAUUAAAGUGUUUGGGAAAUAAGCGGAAGCUCUGAAACAAAAGUUAGCAUUCCUAACUUUUUAUAAGUGCUUCUUGACUUAUUACACAAACGGUACAAAUAAGUGCUCCUAACUUAUAAUCUCGGAGGGUGGAUUUAUAAGUGUUCACCAAACACCCACUUAAUAAAGUGUUUGAAACAAUCGAAAAAAAGCAGAAGUUAGCAUUCUCGACCUCUUAAAAGCGGUUCUACAUAUUUAGACAAAUAUGACAAGAAAAGAAGAAGUCAGCAGUUUCAGCUUCUUCUAUACAAACAGCCUGGUAUUGCUUUGCAUCUUCUGCAUGUUCUUGCCAAAUACUUUACUUUCUCAAUAUUAUGUUUACUCAUAUAAAAGUGUUAUGUUUAAAUCAUAUCCACUCUAGAUUAUUGGAUUGAUUUUUAUAUGUUUAUUUGGAGAGUCUUACUUUUAAAAUACAUUCAUUCCAAAUUGCUAGACUGAUUUUCUUACUGUCUAUUUAGAGAGGUUCUGUCCCGAAUAAUGGCAAAAGUUUGUUACAGAUUUUCCUCAAUAUAUUACGUAGAAAGCUUUUUCGACAGUACAACGUUUUCUGGUUAAAGACUGUGAUGCUUUUUUGACAAUAUUAUACUAAUAUUUUAUGAUUAAAGAUGGUGAUUUUAUGUACAAAACUAGCGAGUCCCUGUGUAGCACAUUCUCAAAGCAUUCCCUUAAUAUAGGAAACUUUACCUACUGUUUUUGUGACCACAUAAAUUGUAGGGAAUUCAUUGCCCGAUAUUAACAAGUGUUUCACCGUAGAUUGUCGGAAAGGGUUUAAUAACUAACAGCAUCUUCAUUUUUGAAAACCGUUUGCUAAAAUUUUAAUAAAUUAUGUCAAUCACGCAUUAUUUCCUCUAAAAAAGUAGGGAAAUCAUUGCCCGAUAUUAACAAGUGUUUCACCGUAGAUUGUCGGAAAGGGUUUAAUAACUAACAGCAUCUUCAUUUUUGAAAACCGUUUGCUAAAAUUUUAAUAAAUUAUGUCAAUCACGCAUUAUUUCCUCUAAAAAUAUAAUCAACCGACUAAUCUUAUUAUAUUCAACCAACCUUUGAAGAUUUGUAGUUCUAUUUAUAAUAAAUUAAAAUAAUAAUGGCAAAUUAUUUGUAAAAUAUGACCUAUCAAUAUAGAUAAUAUCAUAUGAAACAAAAUUUCUUAUAAUUUAAUAAAUUUUAUACAAUACAUUACAUGUUCAAUUUAGUUAAUUAUUUAUAGUCAAUAUCGUUAGAUAUACUCCAAAAAUAUAAAUUAUACUCCCUCUGUACCUCUCAUUUUUUUACGUUACUUUUCGGCACGUUUUUCCACACUCUUUUAAAGUAUAGUUUCAUAAUAUAUUUUUUAAAUUUUUUUCUGAAUAAAAAUUUGAUAUUUAAACUUUUAUUCAGAAAAAGAAAUUUUAUAAAAAAAGUUAUACAACUAUACUUUAGGAACUUCAAAAUGCGUGCAAACAGAACGUAAACAACCACGGGGACGAGGGAGUAUUGAAUUGUAUUUAGUAUUGUUUCGCAUAAGACUGUAUACAUAGUUGUUUUUGCUUAAUGAUCCACAAGCUUUUGGUUGAACAGCCAUGGGUUUAAACUUUCAAGGGGUCAUCAUAACCACAAAAUACACAAGGAGCAUGAUGAGAAACAAGCGGACCCCUUUCCGGUUCUUUUAACAAACAACAUGGUCCAUUUUCCACACAACUGAUCUGAUGUCUUAUGUGUGUGCUGUCGUUACUUCUUCCACUCAUGUUAUUCAUGCAUGUAUACAUUCAUUGCAUGCCAUUUGGCAUUUGUCCCCCUUUAGCUUUGUCUGAUCAACUUCCCCUGUAGCUUUAUCACGUUAACUUCGUUUUCAUACUCACUUUCUAUUUGGCCAAUGUUAUAAGGAUUGUAUGCUCUUUAUGUUUCAUGCUUGUGGUAUAUGUAUCGCAUUAAUUUAUAUACAAUUACGUUGACUGUUAGUUGUGGCGGGAGGCCGGUCAUUGUACUCUACUCACUCAUAUCAUACUCUCCAAGAAUGAGUUGGAAUUAGAAAUUAAAAGAAAAUCAGAGAUAUUAAGAUUCUAUUUGAUAUUAUUAUGAUAUUAGGUAACAAUUUUGUAGUGAAAACUAGGUUAAAAUAUUUUAUUAAAUUUAAAAAUAAUUGUUUUGAAUAACAAUUUUUGACUCGAAAGCUGCUUUUUCAAAAUAUAGGUAUAGUGUGUUUUUGAACCAACUUGGUUUUUUUAACUUUUACCGGAAGCUGUUAAACAUUAUUAUAAAAUUUUAGAGUAUCUCUAAUCAUAGAAAAUUCUUAGCUAAAAUGUGAGUUGUCAACAUUCUAUGAGAGCAUCUCCAAUGGCAUUGGUUUAUUGGCUAUAAUCAUGGGAUGAAUUGGACAUUUAAGAUAUUAUAUAAAAUUUGCUCAACCGACAUUGUGCUUCAAAUGGUAUUGACUAUAUUGGUUGACUAUAAUUUAAAAAUAGUAUGUUAUUAAUAUUAAAAUUGUUAUAAAUAGACUAUAUCAGCUUAAUAUGAUAAUAAAUAAUAUGUAAUUAGCGGGAAAGAGGAAAAUAAAUAGCGGAAGAUGACGUGGACUUCACUACAGAUCUGUAGUAGUUCGACAAAUAUAGUCAUGGAUAGGGGGUGGCUAUAAUUAUAGAUAAGGGCUUGCUACUGUUGGAGUGCUGUUUUUAGGCGGCAUUGACUAUAAUUUUUAAUUUUGUUAAGCCACCUAGACUAUUAGCUAAGGGCUUCUCAUGGAAUGCGAUAUUUGUCGAAUCUUUUCACGACGCAAUAAAUCUGUAGGAAGAUUACACAUCAUUUAUUACCAUAUCGAACUGAUACAUUCUAUUUUAACAAUUUAAAAUAUUAAUAACAUACUAGUUUUAAAUUAUAGCCAUUACUAUUGAAGCAUAAUGUCUUAGAGCAUCUCCAAUGACAUUUACUAUAAUCGUUGGCUAAAUUGAACCUGCAAGACAAUAUGUAAAAUUUGCUGAACCUGUAAGACAUUGUGCUUCAAUGUUAUUGGCUAUAUUUAGGGCUGUAAAUCGAUACGGACUAUCUGGUGUCUCGGCUCAUAUCCGGCUCGAAAAUCUGAUACAUGUCUCAAAUUCGUUUUGAAAACGAUCCAAAUCUGGCGGAAAAAUUAAGCCCGUAUAAUAUAUGAGCCCGGAUACGAGCACACCUAUACCCGCUCAGAUUCGGUCUCAUAUAAUUUUUCAUAAUAUGAUCCUACCCGAAUAACUAAAUAUGAUCCACGGUUCAUAUUCGAUUCAAACUCAUAUACAUAUUGUAUUUUAACACCAUCAUAUGUGCAAGUAAAUAUGUGCAAGUAAAUAGUUAUCAUUUUAUAAAAUUUUAAUAUCUUAUUUAAGUUUAUAUCUUCAUAAAAUAUGAUAUAUUUCAUAUGAUCAUACUUAUUAUCUUCGUAUAUAUUUAAUAAAUGAUAUAUACCAACAUAUAACUAUAAGUUUUAAUUUAAAAUUAUUAUAUUUAUAAUAUUAUAUUUACUUAGACUAAAUAAUAAUUAUUUGAACAACUGAAAUAAUAAUGAUAUUUAGUGUUAGUGGAUCAUAUCGGCUCAUAUUCGAUGGAUCAUAAACUACUCGGUUAAAAAAUAGAAAAUACGAUACUGGAUUAUAUCCGGUUCAGAUCCGAAUCUCAAAUACCCGGGAUCGGUUUAUAUCCGAAUAAAACGAUCCCGAACCCAAAACUGGACAAGCUAAAAAUAUUAUGAUCCGAUACUUGAGCAGAGGGGUACCCGGGAUCACCAGGAUCAUUUUAUAGCCCUAGCUAUAUUGGUUUGCUAUAAUUUAAAAAUAAUAUGUUAUUAAUAGUUAGAUUGUUAUUAAUAGAAUAUAUCAGUUUAAUAUGGUAGUAAAUAACAUGUAAUCAGCAGGAAAGAGAAAAAUAAAUUGUGAGAGACGACGUGAAACUCACUGCAUAUCAGUAGUGUGGUUGGACGAAUAUAGUCAUCCAUAAAUUUCAUACAUGUCAAUGAUAAGCUACACACCAUAGAACGAUCAUGCUAGAGAAAUAAUCAAAUUUUAUGCAUUGUUCGGCCCAUACUGGAUGAUCAGUUAUCAUUACAGCCUCUUAUCCCUUCUCUUUUGGGCCUCUUGACAUGUGAUUUUCUCGUUUUUGCCAAGUACACGCAUGUGCUUAUGUUAAAUCUUUACAAUAAUAACGAUCUUCUUUUUUUGAAACCAGCCCAAUAAUAACGAUCUUCUUUUCUUUUUUUUGAAUAAAAAAAAAAUAACGAUCUUCUUAAUCAUCAGGAAGGUGAACUUCUUGGUCUUCAAAUAUAUAUUCCAAAGUUUUCCAUCUUUAUUUAAAAUUUUAAGAAUAAUAAUUUUAAUUAUAUAAUCAAAUAAUUUAAAAUUACGUGUAAAAAGUUAAACAUCCUGUAUUUCAAAAUAUUUACUCCCUCCGUCCCUUUUUAAUUAUCUCAUUUCUAUUUUUGUUGGUCAAAUUGACCGAUCUUUGACCAGAGAUUAUAAAUCAUUUUUUCAUUAUUUUAAAAAACUGAAAAUUACAUCUUAAUAUAGAUUAAAAGUUAUUUCCGGGGAUAUAUAUAUUUUAUUUUUUCAAUUGAUAAAAUAUUAAUAAAUCUCAGUCAAAUUUUAGUCAAUUUGACCAGCACAAAACCAAAAGUAACAACAUUUUGAGGGAGGGAGUAUUAUACAACAGACAACAUUGAUAUAAUUAGAUAUUUGUAUUAAUAAGUCAAGGACAAUCCAAACCAUAAAUGGCUCGUCCCCAGAUUCACAUUACAAUGUUGUGGUACACACUACCCAUACAGUAGCAUACUGAUCAAUACAAAAUAGCCUAAUAAAUUCUUAUAAACUGGACACAACACUAGCAUUCUUUGCCUCCUCAGCUUCUUUGUGCUUCAAAUCCCUCAAAGUCGUCCUCCACCCAAAAUAAUUCCCAAACAAUAACCCCAUCUCCUCCAGGCUCCGCCCCUGCGUCUCCGGCAGCAACGUGAACACAAACACCCACCCCACCGCCGCAAUCGCCGCAUAUAAAUAAAACGCCCCCGCAAUCGAAAUCGCCUCGUACAAGGACAAAAACGUCAUCGAAAUAAUCCCACUUGUACCCCUGUUCACCGCGACCCCAAUGCUGCACCCCUGGGCCCGCAGCCUCAGCGGAAACACCUCCGAAUUGUAGACCCACGCGAUCGGGCCCAGCCCAAUGGAAAACAUCGCCACAUUGGCUAAAACCCCGAAGAUCGCUAACGUUACGGCCCAAUGGACCGUGUGGUCAGAAUGGUCAAUAACUGCUAAUGAAGUCCCGAGGAGAGUUAGUGAAAUUACCAUUCCGCCCAUGCUGGUCAACAACAACGGUCUUCUCCCGAUUUUAUCGAGCAAAAAAGUCGCGACUAAAAUAAAAAUCGUUUUCGAGAAUCCAACCGCGAUUGUCGCGAGUAAUUUCAUACUAUCGCUUUUAAUCCCGGCUUUUUCGAAGAUUCGGGGACUGUACAAAACGACGGCGUCUAUGCCACUGGACUGUUGAAAGAAGUGGAGCCCAACGCCGGCGAUGAAUGCGUGACGGACGGAGGCGGUGGGGCGGAGGAGGAGCUCUUUCCAGACGGCGUCGUCGUUUUUCCGGCGAGGGACUUCGACGACGUCGUCGUUGCAGUCUUCGGGGAUGCCGGCGGCGGCUUUGAUGUCGGAUAAGCGGAGGCGAGCCUCUUCUUUGGAGUCGGAGGUUUUGUCGAGGACUUGUCGGGCUUCGCCGAGGCGGCCUUUCAUGACGAGCCAGCGAGGGGAUUCCGGCAUGCCGAGGACGCCGAUGGCGAGGCCGAUGGAGGGGAUGGCUCCGAUUCCGAGCAUGAAGCGCCAGCCGAGAUUUUCGGGGAGCUUGGAGAAGCCGAAGUUUGAAACGUAUCCCAGAAGUACACCUGUUUGCAGAACAAUCAUGUUAUUAGAUCACAUUGUCAUGUAAGGUCUCAUGAAUUACUACCAUUGAAUUCGGACUCGUGACUACGUAGUUGUUUGAUUGAAUUUAAAAUUAUGAUUAUUUUAUCAGAUAAAAUGUUCAUAAAAAUUAAGUCACUAAAAUGUCUUAAACUAAUUUAUGACUUUGUUACUUUCUUGUUUAAUUCAAAGCUUAAAACGACUUUUGAGAUAUUUUCAAGUUUAAAAUCGAAAAUGAAUACUUAAAACCCGAUUUAAGAAGCGUUCUUGUUUAAUUUAAAGUUUAAGACGGUUUUUGAGACAUUUUCAGGUUUAAAGUCGAAAAUAACUUAAAACCCGAUUUUAAGAACCAUGGAAACAGGAUGCAGUAUUGUAGAAGAACAGCUUUUAUAACCUACUAGUAACGUGUAUAAACUAAAUGUCGGGAUAAUUUUAUCUUUUGCCGACGGGCCUGAAUUUUGUGAAAAUCGCACAUGUGGAACAGUGAUAAUUCUGUGAGAAAAUUUCCAACGUUGAAAACUACGGUGACCUUGUGCAUGCAUGUGAUUUGUCUCUGUCGUCAACACUGGUGGGUGGUAGUGUGGAAUGAGGAGUGAGGAGUGAUCAUUUUAAGAAGCAAAGACAAGUAUGCAUUGAUUAUGUGGGUACAAAAUGUACAUAUGUACUGAACUUAAUUGGUAAAUAUUAGUAAUAAACUUUUGACAAAAGUUUGCUUGUAUAAUUGCUUAUAAAUAAAUAAAUUUUAACAUAAUUCUAAAUACACAAUUAAUAUUUCCCUCUUUUAUUUGGUGUCACCAAAAGAAGCUGACAGUAUUGUUAAGUGUUAAAACUAAUAGCAGAAAGGCGAUGACAACCACUUAACCAGUCAAAUUUUUUUUUUUGCCAAACUUAACCAGUCAAAUUAAUUUAGCUAAUUUUGAUAAGUUUUUUUUUCCGUCAAACUACCCGUUUCUUCUUAUAGUGAGAUUGUAUUCAUCAACUACAUAUAUUCACACUAAAAUUUGAACAGGAGCUGAUCCAUAACGAAUUUCUGAAAUUACGAGUUAUCUCUAAUUUAUUUAUAAAUGAAAAAUAAUUUUUAAUUUAAAAAUAUCAAAACUAUCUUCUAAAAUGAUCAUUUAUAUUUUGUUAAAUCAAACUUUAAGAAUAAAAACUAGUCACGAAAAGGAGUAGAAUUUUUAGUUAACAAAUUGUCAAAUUCUAACUUCUAAUCGUGAAUAGAACUUGUAAAUAAAUCUAUAAAAAAAUUCUAAUUCUAACUUAUAAGUCAGUUUAAGACCAGCCGUAUCACCGUUCUCUUGGACUUUGAUAGUUUGAUAUAACACAAAUGUUCUCUCAACUGUGGCCCCAUAAACAAAAUCUAACACACCUCAGUUAUAUUUACUACUAGUGCUAGUGCAUAUACUGUAUUAAUCUAGUUAUAAUUUGCAUGAAUUUAACAUCAUGAUUGACCAAACAUAGUUUACAUGCAAACAUGCUCAAACAAGUGAAAGAAACUUGAUAACUUCACGUACCGAAAUUAAUGAAAACUUCCGGGAACGACGUGAGAAAUCCCCGCGACGAGGCCGGAGAAACCUCCGCCGUGUACACCGGAGCAAUCAUGAGGGCAUACCCUACUCCAAGUCCGGCGACAAAUCGACCGAACAUGAGAAAUGCAUAGUUUGUGGCGAAUCCCAUGAGUAAGGCUCCCGCAAAAAAUAUGGCACCGGCUAAGACCAUAGUGUAACGCCUGCCGAUCCAGUCGGAGGUUCUUCCGGCGAAACCGGAGCCCACGAGAGAGUAGAGGUUGAUUAUUCCGACGAGAAUUUCGAGCUUCACUUCGGAGACAUCGAGUUCUUUUUUUAUGUAGAUGGCUGCUCCACUCAUCACUCCAAUAUCUGUGGAGGGAGCAAGAAACAUAUAUUAAUUUAAAUAACGAAAAUAGAUGAAAUCGUAUGAAGACCACUAUUAUUAUUGAACUCGGAGAAAAAUUAUUAUACUUCUCGAUAAAAUAAUGGUCUGUUUAGAAUUCAACUGAUAAAAAAAUGAUGGUACGAGAUUAGUUAUACGAAAUUCAUGUGGUCAGUUUAGAAUUCAACCGAUAAACAAUAAUGAUACGAAAUUAUUUAUACAAUAUUCAUAUUUGUGUUCAAAUCAUUUUUUAAAAUUUUAUUUCUUAUAAUGAUAUCGGUGACAUUACAAUAUAGAAAGACGGAGUGAGUAUAAAUACCGUAUCCAAGUAAGACGGAAGUCAUGGAAGCUAAAAUGGCACAGCCAAAAGCAUACUUGUUUCUCUUAGGUUUCUUCACAGCAUCAAAUAUGACAGGGGAAGCAACAUUUUUCGGGUUGCCGGAAUCGUCACCGGAAACGCUGAAAGCUCCGGCCAUAUUUAAUAGAGAUAAAAAGCUAGAGUGUUCAGGGGUACAAAGUGGCAGUGAACAUGUAGUGUGAUAGAACUUUGCUCCAUGUUGGGACCGUUUUAAAUAGACUUGCCAUGGGUACAAUAAUAAAGGGUGAAAUGUUUGUUUGGCCAUCAAACUAUUGACUGGUUUUCAAUUUGGUCACCAUACAAUUGGUGACCAAAUUUCUACAUAUUCAUUUUGAUUUGAUAUGUUUAUGAGUUCUUCUUACGGUUGGGGUCCACGUUCACAAUAAAAUGGUUUUCACCCAUUUUUAGCAUCUUUUAUAUUUUGUGUGGAAUAAUCUAUCAUGUUUUAACAAUGAAAAUUUAGGAAUAAUAUCCAUAUUUUUAAAUGUGCUGUCUCUGGCCUUCUUCCUCUUUUUUCUCUAGCCGCCACCUUGUUUUCUCAUUCCGACGCGGCUUUCACUAGUUUUCUGAUGGAAAGCCCACAAAUUCGUCAGUUUAAUUGCUUGUUUUUUGGUUGCUAUUACUUGUUUCAUUAAUUUUCUUAAUAAAUCUCCCUCUUUGGGAAAGUUUUUUUAGAUCUAUAUCAUCGAAACUUUUGAUUUUCAUUUUUAUUCAUUUCUAGAGGGCUUUUUGGAUUUGUGAGUGGAUCAAUUAUCUCCUGUGUAGAUUUGUGGUGCAGAUCCAAUCAUUUUAGUUUACAGUUUGAUUUUCUCUCGUGUGUUAUAAUUACAAUUUGAUUUCUUUUCCUGGUGAGAGUGUGAGAUUUUUUUCUCCUUCUUUUGUGAGUGUUGGUUUGGAUUUAUCAAUAAAAGUCUUCCAGAAAUUGCACGUGUGGCUGAUAACUCAAACAAAGUUUUUGAAAAAGAAGGCGAACACAGAGUAGGGAUUAUAAAUAUAUCAUCAUCAAUUUCAAUACCGCUUAUUUAUCUUAUCUUGAGUAUAGAGACAAACAUGUUAAUUUAUUCAAUAUUUGUUCGACUUGAUCAGAUGCCGUAUGACUGUUAUUUAUUGAAUUAUCUCCUUUUCUUAAAAAAAAUUCUGUCUAAUUAACAUACAAGGUUGCAUAUGUGAUUAUACUAUAUCUCAAUUUAUAUUGUGGGUAUUUUUGAAAAAUAUUCAUUAAAAAAUCGUCGGAGAACUCAUUAUAAAAGAAUUACUCCCUCCGUCCCAAUGCGAUGUAUACGUUCACUGUUUGCACGCAUUUCGAGAUUUCAAUAAGGUAUAGUUUCAUAAUGUCUUUUUUAAGAAUUUUUUUUUCAAUAAAAAUCUUAAUAUCAAAUUUUUAUUCAGAGAAAAAAAAUUUAAAAGAAAAGUUGUGAAACUAUACUUUAAAAAAGCUUUAAAAUACGUGCUAGAAAGUAACGUAUACAAUCCAUUGAGACGGAGGGAGUACGAGAAAUUGAUGUGCGGGCUAAUAAUUACUCCCUCUGUUUCAUAUUACAUGUCCACUUUUAAUAACUAAAAAUUAUUUCAAAUUAGUUGUCCUAUUUCAACUUCUAUUUCAACUUUCAAUGCAAUGUAGUCAAUAGUUGUAUUUCCUAGAUGAAGUUUAUACCACAUCCUACUAAAUUAUAUUUCUUAGAUCAAAUAUAUCCCACAAAUUAUACUUAGUCAAUGCAAUAAAUAUAAUAAUAAAUGAAAAUUUUCUACAAAAAUUAGUUUUUCUUAAUAUGUGUGAUUUGUUCAAAAAUAGACAUGUAUAUUCAAACAAAGUUUACGCUAUAUUGUAUUCUAGCUAAUUGUCACAUGUCCAGCAAAUAGCCAAUCAGAUUCUAAUAGAAGUGUAAUAAUGAUAAGAUUCAUACUGCAUAAUUUGCUUACAUUAUGUCAAUCAGUGAGACAGAAAGUAGAGUGUCAAGCAGUAUUAAAGAUAACCCAUUCCUUAAUUGUUGGGGGGAAUUUAGCACAAUUGUUCAUAUGUUGACUGCCUAUGCAUUCGAAUUCCACCGUCGUCCCUCCCUGUCUUGGUAUUUUACAUGAAAUUCAGCACAAACACUCAGAUAUGAUUUUAGAUAUAAUAUUUGAGUUGGAUUAACGCUACAACAAAGCUACAACAAAACAGGGUAUUUACGACGAAAAUUAAGCCUACAGUCUAUCGUAAGUUUCAAAUUUACGACGGAAUAUUUAAAUAAAAAACUAACGACGAAAAUCCAAAUUCCGUCGUAAGUUCAUAUAUAAAAACAACACCGUACUUGGCAUUGGAGUUUUUUUUAUUUUUUUUCGAUUAAUAAAAAUUAUUAAAAUAAGAGACUUACGACAGAUUUGUUUUCCGUCGUAACAACUUACGAUGAACCUCUAACAAUCCGUCGUAAGUUCAGGCGCAUACGUGAUCCGUCGUAAGUUAUUUGUUGUAAAUGGUCUUGUUUGUUGUAGUGUAAUUUGAUGUUAAUUUUGAAUCAUCUAAAAUGAGUUCGACAUUCGAUAUUAUCAUAUAUAUAGUAGUAUAAAAUAUUAUGCAUUAUUAGUAAUACUAAUAUUAAUUAUAUGUUGCAUAAUUUAGAUGAAAUUUGUAUGAUGACCAUCUUUUUUUAGAAAACGUGGACACCAUUUAUGUUCUGCAAGUAAAAUAUUGCAAAACUUAUAAUUUUACGAUGAAGUCAACUGACGGAGUGAGUGAACCGUAUCACACGACAAUAUCAUAACACAAUUUAUGAUCAAAAUCCCAAAACUCGCCUAAAAUCCGAGACCACAAACCAAAGGUCAAGAUUCAAGAACGGUAGGCAGUGAAGAAGCUGAUCAUUCAUAAUUUGGACACUUUAGAUUCUGAGGUCCAUUUUCUUUUGGACUUGGUGGUGUCCCUUUCGGAGCCAAAUUAAAAUUUUAAGGUGGUGGUGUCACAUUCUACAUUAUCGCUAGUUGGGGCUAUACCUCACGUAGUCUAUAGUGAUCUGAAUUCUCAAUCAUAUGGGAACUGUGUAGGUGUUUCGUCCAGAUUGAAUUCAUGCUCCACCAGAAUGGUGUGAGCCAUUUGUUCUGCAACUAAACAAGUGAGCAUGUUAGUCACGUACGGUUGUAGAAUUUCUAACCUUACGUGUUGUUUUCAAAAUCGAUGCUCUUGAGUCAAUAUUUGUUACUCGGAAUCAAGUAUCAAUCUAACAGGAGCAUGGCAGUAACAUGUUCAAUUACCAUUUCGAAUUAUAUAUGACAAAUGAAACCAACAUUCGUUUCAAUGUAUCUUCAUGUAAUAAGUUAUAAAAUGACCUAAAAUGAGGAAUAUUACCGAUCAAAAAUCAAAGUUAAUUUGAACUAUUUCCCCAUCUGUCUUGUUUUGACUAUUGAAAAGUCUAAGUGGACUAAAUUUUGACCACAAAUUACACAUAUUAUCCAAUUUAAAAAUAUUAAAAAAUAUAUUAUUAGAAAGUAUAUCUAAUCCCCUUCAAUAUUCAUUUUUCAGAUUUUUAAAAUAAUUAAUAUUUUUUAAUUAAUGAUCAAAAUUCGAUCAAAUUGACUCCUUAAUAGUCAAAACAGGACACAUAAUAUGAGAUGGAGGCAGGGCCGUCAGGGACUUUUUUGAGGCCCUGUGCUGACUUUAAGAACGAGGCCUUUCCAAAUGACAAAACAAAAUUUUAAUAUACUUAAAAUAACAAGAUAUCAUAAACAAAAUUAGACUACUACAACUGAAAAAUUGUUUGUUUUUUGAGUAGUAAGACUUAAAUAUGUGUGUGACCGUGUGGGAUUUACUGCUUGUACAGUGUACUAGUUUGUGGGGAGAGAAGGAAUAAGAAGAGACGUGCAUGGCUGGGUCUUGGGAGUUGAGAAUUGAUUAGUGUUGAAAUAAAAUAAUGAUAAAAAUUAAAGAAAUAUUACCAUUAUAUUAUAUUUUUCAUGAGUAUACCAAAAGAUAGAAAAUAUUCAUCAUAAAUUGGGGGCCCUAAAUUUUUAUGGGCCCUGUGCUGUUGCACUUGUUGCACUCCCUCAAAACCGGCCCUGGAUGGAGGGAGUACGUUUUUAGUGACUUAAUUUUACUUUUCUUUUUAUAAAAAUUGUCUAUAAGUGAUAAGUUGCGCAUAAAUUAUUUUUAUUUUUGUUAUUAAAUUUUUAAUAUUCCAUAAUUCAUUAAUAAAUCAAAAUUAUAUAAAUUAUUUUAAACUUAUCGCCAUUCAAAAUUUUAAACUCAAACAAAUACCAACAUUGUCCAACUUUAUUAGCUUGACUAACCAUUACUUUUUUCACUUAGGAUCUGCCGUGAACUAUUGUAUCUCUUCAAAGGAGAACCUGCAUUUGUGAGUGUAAUUAUUGGAAAGAACCGAAGAACAACGAUUCGGUAUUUUAUUCUUGUUGUGUGCUGGAAAAGCAUGAAAGUUUGUGUCGGCUAACCAUUUUGAUGAAACAGCAAGUAUUUCACGUAAAUGCUAAAUCUUCAACUUUUAAUUGGACUUGUAUACUCACUUAGUAGCCAAAAUUUUCAUCAUGUGAAGUCACUUCAUGAAAUGAUGAAUAUAAGACAUUCAUGAUCCACCUCAAAUUGUCCUUCCAUUCCUUUUCUGUUUUUAAGAAUGCAAGGACUCCUUCGGUUUCAGACGUGUGGUUAACUUUCUAUAUUUUAUACUCUCUCCGUUCCUCUCAUUUUUUUACAGUUAUUAUUUUGAUAUGUCCCUCUCAUUUCUUUACGUUACCAUGCAUAGUAAGUUUUUUCAUCAUUACACCCACUAUCUCAUACUCUCUCCGUCCCAUUUUAUGUGACCUCAUUUCCUUUCUGGGACGUCCCAAAAAAAAUGAACCUAGAAUACUUGCUAUUUUUGAACACUACUUUUUACUAUUACACCCACUAACUCUAUAUUUUAUACUCUCCUAUUAUUAAAUAAACACUAUUACACCCACUAUUUUUCUUCACUAUCCCAAAUCUAUUAUUAAAUAUUGAUAGGUCCCACCACUUUACCCACUUUUCAACUACAUUUACUACUUUUUUCUUAAUCUCCGUGAAAGUCAAACCCAUUCAUAUAAAAUGGGACGGAGGUAGUAUUUAACAAUAAAAACUACUAUUACACCCACUACUUUCCUCCACUAUCUCAAAUCUAUUAUUAAAUACUGAUGGGUCCCACCACUUUACUCACUUUUCACCUAACUUUACUCAUUUUUCAUACAUUGUCUUGAUCUCCGUGUCCCCCUCCAAUGUAAACAAUUUGGGGGGACGGAGGGAGUAAUCAAAUUAAUAAAUUUAAUUUAAAAAUUGUAAAUUAAUUCUAAAAAUCGGAAAAAAUAUAUUUUGAUAUGUAUUUAUAUAAAAUUUUGAUAAAUUAUAUAGUAAACACAAAUUUUGUCAAAGUUCGAUCAAUUUAACUUGAAAAAUUUUUAAGUUAAACGACUAAUUUAUAAAUAGAUGGAAUAAUUGAUAAUAAAAAAUAGUUUAAAAUUUUGACGACAUACUAUUAUUUUAUAUACUUUGCAUGUCUCAUUUUAUGUUUUAUAUGAUUUAUAAUGAUCACAUAAUCAAAUUUUGUUUGAUAUAAAUAAUUAUAAUUAAAAAUGAAAUAUUAGAUCUUAAAUUAUAUUGAAUAUACUUUCUAAUAUUACAGUAUUGAUAUAAAAUUGGUAAAUUUUAGUUAAAAUUAAGUUAAUAUAGUCAUAUAAAAUCAAAUAAGACAUAUAAAUUAUAUUCAAUAAAUUAUAUAAAUUAUAUUCAAUAAAUUGUUGCUCAUGAAUUAAUCAAGACAUUAAUACAAAUUAGAAGUUUGAUUUUCUAGUUCUAACAUGAGACCCUAGCGUCAAUAUUACUCUCACACGUUUUUUUUCAACUGUUCGACACGCAUUUCAAUGCUCUUAUUUUAUAGUUCCGUAACUUAUUUUUGAGAUGUUCUUUUUCUGAAUAAAAAUAUAAGAGCAUCUCCAAGAGCCUCCUUGUUGCUCCUAAAUAUAAUAUAAAAAAUGUGCCUCUUAGUAAUUUAGGACAAAGUUAAGAGUGUAAACUCCAAUAAUACUCUCUACAUCUCUUCUCUAUUUGAUAUUUUAUUCAUAUAUUGGGCUCCACUAUAACAAAAGAGAGGGAAAAAUGGAGGUUGAUUGGAGGGAAGGAUUUUUUUUAUUGUAAAAAAAUAAGUUAGGAGCCAUGUGGUGGCUCUUAACUUUGAGAAGAGAGGAGAGAGAAACAAGAGACUCUUAAGAUUUAAGAGCCACUUAAGAGUUUUUUGGAGCAACAUUUUGCUUCUCCCUCCUCAAAUCUCAAGUUAGGAGCCUAAAUGAAAAGCCUCUUGGAGAUGCUCUAACAUCCAAACAUUAAUUCAGAAAAAAAUUUUAAAAAUAAAUUACAUAAUUACAUUUUACGAGAGUAUUAAAGUCCGUACCGCGUCCCGUUACUCGAUCUAUACAAUUCAGGGGACAGAAGGAGUAGUCUUUUAAUGAUUUUUAAAUCAGAAUAAAAUCCUGACAAAAUCUUAUUCCCGGUCCCUCGGAGAUGCAUGUACUGGGAAGUGGGAAUUCACCACGCAUUUUAAAACUUCGUUAAAUCAUAUACUGUACUAUAUUUUUAUGAAUUACUUUUGACUUUUGUUCAUAAAAAAGUUAUUGUUUAUUAAACUUUAAUAUGAAAGGGAAAAAGUUAAAAACAAAUUUUAAAAUCAGAUUUUCUAUUCAUCUUAAAUUAUGUGUCGGAAGAAAGCUGCAUGCAUACAGUUAAAUGGUAAAGAUGAAUAUAUUAUACAGCAAUAUAGCAUGGCUGUCGUUCUAUCACUCUCAAUAAUUUGGAGAUUCUACUUGAUGGCCGAUGGUGAACGUGUUAUCGUGAACCGAAUGGACAAGAAACUACCAACGUAAAACGGUGGCCAUCGAAUACUCAAAAUUGUUUUACAUGAAUAAAAGUCUAUUCCACGUGGAUUUGAAUUUUCGGGAUUUAAAUCGUACUUUAGUCUUGGCCUUAUAUUAUUUGUGGCUCUCUUUUGGUCGAUCGAGUACAAUUUGAGAAAGCAUCUAUCUGUAUUAGACAACAAAUUGAUAGAUCACAACCCCACUUGGUGAUAGCUAUUUUUCCACAUAGUAGCAUUCAUAUUAAAAGCUUCCUUGAUGAAUAGUCAACCAAUAAAUCAUUUUGUCAUUGAUUUGUUCAAAAUUAUUUUCAUUUUCCUAUAAAUUUUAUUAAAAAUAUUUUGCAUUCCUUCUAGUAAUAAUCAGCAUUCGACUUAUACUGACUACAAAUUUAACAUUUUUUUGAGUUCAGACGAAAUGAUAAUAUAAUUCACAAAAUUUUAUCAUCAAAUUGAUCAACAUAUUUAACAUUAAAAUGUCAACGUAGUGUUUGGUGUAUUUGAAGGUGAAACUCAUAUCCAAUCAGUUUAUGUAAUUUGUGUACUUAAUCCAAAAUUCAUAUCUGUUUCGAUAUUUAUCUAUUUUCCCAUCAAUUUGUUCAAAUUUAUUUACAUUUUCCUAUCAAUUUUAUUAAAAGUUGUAUUUCUUUAGGUUAUAAUUUACAUUGGACUUACACCCUAACUAUAAACUUACCAUAGAGUUCCGGAGAAAAAACACAAAGUUUUAUCUUCAAACUCAUAAGCAUAUUUAAUACUUAAACAUGUCAAUAUGAGUGCUAUGUAUUUUCGUACUCUUUGUAUUUUCCUGUUUUAUGUAUAUGAAAGCGAAACUCAUAUUCAUCUAGAAUUUGUAUAUUUAAUCUCAAAUUCAUAUAUGUUUUGAUAUUUAUUUAUUUAAAGAUAUAUUUAUAUCAUGUAUAUUCGUGUACUUUCUUGUAUAUAAAAUGAAAAUUCAUAUCUGACCCUUGAUUUGCCUUUUAUUUCUUAUAUUCGUGUAUUUACAUGUUUGUGUAUUAAAAAUUGAAAUUCAACGCUAAUUUUUCAUGUCAUGUUGAUACGGUAAUUUUCGCGUCGUGUACAAGAUUCUCAAGUCUACUCAAGAUAAUUCUAACCACCAUAUCAAUCAUUCAACCAUUUCCUUUAACCUUGUUUUCCUCGGCUUAAAAUCCGGUUUUAAGUCAUUUCUGACUUUAAGCUGAAAAAUGUCUGUUUAUGUAAUAAGUCAGAAGUCAGCUUAAAGUCAGAAAUAAGCCAAAAGCUGACUUAAAGCCAGAAGUUAGUUUGAGGUACUUUUUUCAGUGACUAAUUUUUUUUGAUAAAAAUUACUCCUAAGUCAUAAAUUACUUAUAAAUCAUUUUUAAUUCUAUUAUUAUAUUUUUAAUAACUCUUAAGUCAUUAAUAAGUCAAAAUUAUCCAAACAGAUAUUUUAAUCUCUCGACUUAUCACGUUAAGUUAUAAGUUAUAAACUCAGUCAAACGGAUCCUAGGAUUAGGAGCCGUUUAUUAACGUGAAUGAAAUUAGCUGAAUCAUGAAGGGUUCAUGUCAUUUGCACGUGUAAAUUUCUAUUGGAUGACCCAACCAUUAAAUUGUAUAAAUUAUAAACCAAACCAAACCAAACAUACUCAGUAUAUCCCGCUUAGAGCAGGGUCUGAGGAGGGUAAGAUUUACGCAGCCUUGUCUUUGCCCUUAAAGCAGAGAGGCUGUUUCCGUGAAGACUCCCGGCUUAGUGCACAAUAAAUAAUAUAGUGUGUGAUAUAAUAUUAAUAUAUCUUAGUCCAUGACCUUUUUCACAUGGGACUUACCUAAACAGUUCCCGUUUGUCGAUGAUGGGUGACAAUGAUCUGAAACGGAGAUAUCAAACUGGAUAAAAACUGCCACUAUUUGCACACUUUUUUGAAUUAACUUGAUUUAUUCUUGUGUAAUCCAUCUAUGUUGGUUCUGCUUCAUCAAAUCCUUCGACGAAACAAUAUCUGUGAUGAUCCAUCAGUACGCACUAAACUUUAUCAAACCAACCACAUACAUGAUGAUCCAUUUGUACUCUACAUUAGGGGUGAGCAAAAAUCCGAAUAGAACCGAAACCGAAACCGAAACCGCUACAAACCGCUAAAAUCAGAACCGUAUAAAACCGAACCGAAACCGAAACCGAAAAUUUUAAAACCGAAACCGAAUAUGCGGUUCCGGUUAUAGCUAGGAACCGAUCCGAAAAAAACCGAACCGAUCCGAUUUUUAAAAAAUUAUAUAUAUAAUAAUUAUAAUAUUUAUAAUUUAUAUAGAAAUCUAUUAAAUAUCGACAAUAUUGACUAUUAAGCUACUUCAUAUAAAGCAGGCAAGAGUGUCACUGAGGUCUAAGGUUAAACUUCUACUGAAGUUAACACCUGAAAUCUGAUUUUAGCUUCAGUAGCACUAGCUCUAAUAUGCAUUGACCGGAUGCAAAAUACUACUGAAGUUAUGGAUAAUCAUUAUUAUUAUAAGAGUUCAGCUUAUUAUUUAACCUGUAGAUUAGACUUAAUACUUAUGCAGACUUAUGGUUCUGAUUGUUAUGUUUUUCCUUUGUUUAAACUUUGCAUGAAUGUAUAAUUUUUAAUUAAGUUUUAAUUGAUCAUGUAUAAUAAUUCGUACUUUUUUUCAUGCGGUUUUUUAACCGAAACCGAACCGAUAGAAACCGAAUCCGAGGUUUUGGAACCGAAACCGAAACCGGCGAUGAGGUUGCGGUUGCGGUUUUUAAUUUUUAAAACCGAGGGUAUGAGGUUCCGGUUGCGGUUUUAUCCAAAAACCGCACCGAAACCGCAUCCGCUCUCCCCUACUUUACAUUGUGGCUAAUUAGAGAAAAUAUCUAUUUUCUUUUGGUCAUUUGUGAUUCCAAACUAUUUACACUAAAAAAUCACAUAUUCCGGAGAGAAUGUCCAUCUCACUUCUAUCAUGUUUCUGUGUGAUCUUUGACAUUGAAAAUUUAAAACUCUCAUAUUUAGUCACUAGCCUUUUUUAUAAUAUUUUCUAUAACUUCCAUUUCAUAUCCUUUUCAUUCAAGUCAAGUGAACGUAAUUUUUGGGUUUUAAAAGUAAUUUAAUAAAUAUGAUGGAAACAAUUUUGACUAAAACUUGCAAAACCAACAAGAUUAAGGGGAAAAUGAGUUAGAAAUUGUGUACAGACUUGUUAGUGGACACUAAAAUAGAUACAUAUUUGUCGUUGUGUCUAUAUUUUCAAUUGUCCACAUAAUUUCUUGGACCAACCACUAUACAAUGGCUAGAAAUAACCUUCACACCUUGACUUGCAAAGUGUUGCAUUAAUGAUUAAUGGGCCUUCAUUUUAGUCUUUUCAAUUUUCUUUAAUGAGAAAGAAUCUUAUACAGAGAAGUGGGUCCUGUUUCCUGUUAAGGGCCAUGCAACUUUAUUUCAUUUAUACAUUAUUUGGUCUUUGCUUCAAUUUUAUUCACUCAAUUAUGAAGAGAUAACAAAAAUUAAAUGAUUACCCGCAUGCAGGCCGGUGUGAGAUUUAUGAAAUUUUAGUCAAAAAUCAAAUUUACACAUAUCAAAUCAAUAUAUUAUAUAUAUAUAUAUUUUAUACUAUAUAAAAAAAUUUCAGAAAUUUUAAAUAUUAAUUGGGAUCUAAAAGCAAGUCUUGUUUGGCAAAUUCCCCUGCAUGUCAAUAUCUAUACUGAACAUGCAUGACAUGCUUCAUUUUGUAUGUAUGAUGUCACUAUGGAUAAAUACAAUCCACUGGAUUUAGAACACGCCAAUGUCGGAGAUCAAAGGCCCAGAAUAGCCCAGUCUCCUCAAGCCCAGAAACAAAUGCUCCACAACUACAUCAGUCUUCUUUCACAAGCCCAUAGAUAAAUGCUCCAUAACCACAUCAGUCUUCUUUCACAGAACAUAAGUCCAAGCCCAAUACACAGAAGCUGCCAGCUGCCAAACUUUAAUAGCUUACUCGAAUAAAAUUAAAACAAUGACUUUUUUUUUUAUCAAAUUAAAAUAAUGACUUAUCGAGCACGAUCGGAUAGCCCAGUGUUAAGGGUUUAUCCUCUGUCGUCCCAGGUCAUGGGUUCGACUCUGGCUCACCCCGAGAAUAUCUUCGAACAGAUACUCACUUUGUAAGGCUAUAAGCCAUAUUAGUCAAAAAAAAAAUAAUGACUUAUCACUUCAUAGAGUGAUUUAGUUAGUUUAUUUAGUUUUGGAUAAUUUUAAUGGUUUAUGAUUUAUUGAAAAUAUAAUAAUAAUAAUAAAUUUAAUAAAUUAUAUGUUCGAGUGAUUAACUUUUUUUUUGAGAGAGAAUUCAAGUGAUUGACUUGAUUGUUGUUUAAAAAUCACAAAAAAAGUACUUGAAAAAACUACAUUCUAUCAACUUUUAUCCUGAAAUCGAUUUCAGAUUUAUUUAUGAUUUUAAUUCAGUUUCUGACUUUUUACAUAACUGAUAAUACGAAAAUAAUAAAAAAAACAUAAUUUUAGACCUAUUAAGAAAUCAAGAAGAGAAAAAUGGUUGUUUCUAUAUUCUUUUUGAGAGGGAAAAGUUUGUUUACUAAACGCCAUAAUAUGAGUGUGUUCGAAAUAAAAAAACAAAACAAAAACUGAAAGACCAUAAUUUGAUUGCAUAUGUCAGCUUGUGUACAAACAAUAAGUCAAAUCAAAGCGUAACAGAGCAAGAUUUUUUCUUGGCUUUAAAGAUUUCCCUUUUUGUUCUUUAAGCAUUUAAAGGACACUAGUUUAUGUACUCUCUUCAUAUGUCAGUUUGAAUAUUUUGCCUCAAGAAGAAGUUGGAUAUUCAUUGCUCUGCACCCAGGUGCUGUUCUUUGUGCAACGAUUGAAUGGGUGGAUUAUGGGGGAGAUUUUGCGUUUCAUAGCAUUCAUGGGUGUGUUUUUCUUGUAGGUAAAGAUGGUCUCUCCCUCUCUCUCUCUCUCUCUCUCUCUCUCUCUCUCUCUCUCUCUCUCCCUCUCCCUCCCUCCCUCCCUCUCUCUCCCUCUCUCUCUCUGUUAAUGUAGUUGUUCAAAUGUGUUUCUUGAAUUCUUAUAUCUGAUAUUUGUAUGAAUCUUGUUUAAUUUUGCUGGUUAACCAUUUGUUGCUAUUGUGAUGUUUAUCUUGUCUUGUACAGAGUUCAGUGAUUUUUAUUCUUUCUGUGUGUAGAUUAUUAUAGCAAGAUAGUUUUGUCCUCAUUUUCUGCACAAAUCCUGCAAUAUAUUAUGUUCUUGCUGAUUCAUAAAAUUCCUGGAAGCCAUCUGCCAUGUCAAUGAGCACUUUGUUAUUUGGUUGUUUUCAUUAUGUUAAAAGGGGCAAUUGACUGGAUUAAUUUCAUUCAUAAGUAAAAGGGGAGAUGAAAAAAACUAGAGACUGUGUUUUUCUUUAAUGGUAUCGUGUUUCGUACUUGAUUAGAGGUAUGUGAGAUAUAACAUGGCAAUGGAUCUUGAUUUUUCAAUUUUUUCAAAGGGUUUAAUUAGCAUUGCGAGUUGAAUAGUGGAAGUGUUUUUCCAGAUCAAGGCUUGUGCCAAAACUGUUAGGAUUUGUGAGCUUAUUUUGUGACAAACAUAGCGAGGUAGUGAUUCAGUUUGGGCUAUCUGUUUUACAAGGAUCCUGCUGUGAAGUAAUUCUUUUGCUCUUAAUAUCUAGUAUUUUGAAAAUAUAUUGCAAAAUGAAUUGUAAGUUUGUGGUCUGUUCAGUGGAAUAUUGUUGAGACUUAGAGCAUAAGUACAUGUAGUAAAUAAUGCUGUCUUGAAGCCGUAACGUCUGGAAUUGUGUGUCCUGUGUUUUAAUAAGGAUAGUCAGUCUUAGUUCGAUUAUUUCGAUAACGAUCUUUCUUAGGACAUGCAAAGUGGUGCAGCUUGCAAGUAAGUUUAGUACUCAGGCUGAUUGAUAUGUUUCGUCUUUAAAAGAAUGUGGAUUGUUAGUUUGCUAUAGGAUAAUAGAUGUUUUACCUUGCUUAAGAAUAUAUUUAGAGGCAUAUAUGUAUCCUUGUGGUUGUAUUUUAUAUGUUGAUCUUAUAACAUGUCCUUGAAUCUGAAUGCGAUGUUAUCUAUAUUACAGGAAAGAACUAGGAGGGAAUUCAUUAACUGGUAUCUUACAUUUAUUAUCAUGAAGAUAGAACAAAAGCGUGGGUGGCGGUCGUUAGUACCUCAUUAUCUACGAGCCAGACCUAGCACUCGCUUUUGCAUGUUUCAUAAAGUACAGUCAUCGAGCUAUAGUCCUUGCGAGACACCUGUCUAUCUGAAUGUGUAUGACUUGACAGCCAUCAACGGCUAUGUCUAUUGGGCAGGCCUUGGUAUCUUUCACUCUGGUUUGGAAGGUCUGGGUACUGUCUUGUGUAACCGUAAACUGCACUGGUGGUUCUUUUUACGUCUAAAUAUGAAUUUUUUGAUGCUUACAGUUGAUGGAGUAGAAUAUGCUUUUGGAGCCCAUGAUCUCGCAGCAAGUGGCGUCUUUGAGAUUGAGCCUCGACAGUGCCCUGGCUUCAAGUUCAGAAAAUCAAUUUAUAUGGGGUCAACUUACAUGGAUCCUUUUCAAGUUAGAGAAUUUGUUGAGCAACAAUCUGCACACUACUAUGGCAAUUCAUAUCAUUUGGUUGUAAAGAACUGCAACCACUUCUGUGAGGAUAUAUGUUACCAGCUAACUGGGAAUCGGAUUCCAAAAUGGGUGAAUCGAUUAGCCAAUAUAGGUAAUCAUUUAACCGCUCUUCUCUCGCUGAAACACUAGUAUACCUCUACUGUUGAACAUGGGUCGUUUGUAUAUUUUUUGUAUUGUAGCUUUGACAAGUGAAGCUUUAAGACCUGAUAUAAUAUGUUGAUUUAACUAUAUAGCUACUGGUGUAUGUUGCUUUUCUACCAGUUGUCAAGACUAACUUUCUCCCCUCUGUAUGAGUAACACCUUUGGCAAGUGAGAAUGUGAAGAGUUUUUCAAUUCAUCUUGCUGAAUCCACUUUACUGCCUAUCGUCUGAAAUUUAGCAAUGGUUAUAAUUUCCAGGUCUCAUAUAACAUUUUUUGUUCAUUCUACUAUUUGUAGGUUCACUAUGCCACUCUAUCCUCCCAGAGGCCCUUAAAACUCCUGCUAUAAGACGUGAACCAGAUUUCCGUUGCUCUGAUGAUGAAAAGAAGAGUCUGACUAAUGCCUUCAGUUGCUUCACAUCAAUGUCCAUGCAUCACAAGGAGAGGGAAGUAUCAAUUAAUUCCUUGUUCCUACAUUCCCACUACAAAGGUUGCUUACCUCCAUGGGAAAACAAAAAGUCUGAUGAUGACUCUGAACAAAGGUCAUGAAGAGUUGAUUUUAAGUCAUCGGUAGAAAUGCAACAUGCAAAGUGAAGAUAUCUGCAGCCCUCAACAAGGUUUUACCAGGAGAAAUUUGUUAAAUCUUUUAUGCCUUUGUGUAAAUUGUAUUCUUGUGCAUGAAAUUUGAAUAUGUAAAGUCUGUAUUUCACAGCUCAGAAAAAAAAUCCCGGAUUUGCGCUGCGCCUUUUUUUGGCUAAUCGAAAAUGCUCCCUUUUCUGUACCUUCGGCAAGUUGGAACUUCCAUUUGCAUUUCAAAAGUUCAGUAAUGUGAAUUAGGUUUAGCAUAAUUUGUAACGCGAAAUGUUUGGGAUUCGCAUUCUUGGCAAAUUGAGAAACAUGUACUUGUCAUUACUAACUAUCGAAUUAAGAACUACUACAUAUUUUAACAUAAGACGAAGAUUAUUUGCAAGACUUGCUGAUAACUUGUAAGUUAUUCUGUUUCCAGGACCAAUUAUGUCCUCAGAAUCGACCUAGUAUGCUGGUAUGGUACUUUAACCAGACGACUUAAUUUAGUCAUUAAUUCAUGACUGUCACAUUUUCCCGGCUAUUUUAGAGUUGGAUUGUGAAUAAUUUGAUUAGUGAUCCAGAUUUUCUGUUCAGGAAAUUGGUCUUUGGCUUUGUAAACAAGCUGAAUGGCUCGCUCAGCACACCAGAAAAAACCAUAAGAUCCUGCAAGUUUUACAGUUAUAUAUUCCCACGUAUAUUCAUUCCCAUUUGCCUUCAGAGUUCUUACGACACCACCUGCAGAAGCCCCACGUUAGUUGCAUGGUUGGAUGUUAAGUACGAGUUGAUGCUCAAGUGAAAUUUAAUAAAUUAUAAUUGUGGCCUUACAGAAACAAGCUUAUAACAACUAAUUAAAACUCAAAAUAUUUAAAAUAAAGUUAAGUCCACAAUAAUAUUCUCUUGAUAUCAGCUCAAGGGUCUCCUUUUUACGUCCAAAUCCUUCUUUAGGCCCUCCCGCUCCCAGUUAAGUUUUUAUGAAACUCUUUGCUGUCAAAAUCAGAAUCUGGUGACAGAGUUGCCAUGCAUUUGGAAGACAAGGAGAUUGGUUUCUUGCCAUUGAAUAGUCCGUGAUGCAGCAAAAAGUGGCCUGCAGUGAGACCAGAGAACUGGAUCGACAUGGAGAAAGUUUAUAUGUCAUUUUGAACUAAUAGCCAUUAAACCUUGGUAAAAUUCAUGAAACGGAUCUUACCAUGCCCUAAUCACAGAUAAAUGAGCAUGACAAGCUCAGUAAGAAACACCUGAGCAUUAAACAAAAAGCAGUAUUCGGUAAUAUAAUUCUCUUUGUUAACUAGACAUUGACAGAUGCGAAUGAGCUUAACAUUAUUAAUCAGUAAUCAUCCUCUAAUCAAAAUUUUGUAAAAAGUAUCACAUUAUGGCAAUGCAGAUCAGAUUGUUGAGUAUCAAAAACUGAGUACAUGAUAUAUUCCUUGACACAAAGCACACCAAAUUAAAGGCAUUUCCUGCACGUAGAUCAGAAUCAAAUGGGCAGAGUGGUAGACGUUGCUUUUGGUUAUAGGAACUGAAGUUGGUUUCUGAGGAGACCAUGAUAUUCCUAAACAUGUCUUAUAAGUUAUAUCCUUGCUUACAAGGUACUGAGUUCUGUGUUAUUUUCCCUCAACUUGGAGACUGUCCGCGUGCUGCAAAUUUGUUGAAGACAACAUAUGGUCCAAAUAAGUCCUCUUCCUAGCAGAGUAUUUUCAGUAACCAACUCAUCAUACUGCAAACUAUAGUACAGUUAAAUUAUUUAAGGCUAAAGUGACGUCGGUAACUGGUUUCACAAAUGUACAAAUAGGAGCUUUGAGUUUAGAUGGGUGCUAUAAAAACUCAUAAGAUCCUACAGGAAUCUGAAAUCUUAUUAGAGGUCUGGAAUGCUAUUUACAGCUGAAGAUUUUCAUAAAUAAAACUAGAAAUUAGAGUUUACAAAUUUUAUUAAAAAAAUAACGAGUAUUAGAGUUUAAGAUUUUAAACUCAAACAUCUCUGACACAAAGAAAACUUGUUAAUGCUUUCUAAUAAUCAGAAUAUCAGAUCCUCACAUACUGAUAAUUAACUAGGCUACUAGCCUCUCCGCGGUACAUUUCCAAGGAGUGUGCUUUAAUUAUGUUCACUAAUCCUAGUCGUUAGAUGGUUGAUCCAACAGUGUAGAAACCAACUGUUAAAUAACUGGUGCCAGACAAUCAAUUGUCAGGUCCAUUAUCUGUAAAUCAAUUGCUUGUUCAGUGAGGAUUCUUAUAUCUUAUUUAGCUUUUGGCUUUGGCGCUUUGUAUAUAUUUAUAUGAACUUCAUAGUUAAUAGGGUAAGGUAGUUCACCUUUACAUAUUAUAUAUGUAAAUUAUCUCUGCCCCUUCGCAUACUGAUUGUAUAUUUCUGGAAAUGUUGUUUCAAAUAGAUGUGGCUGUUGCUACCACUUAAAGGGCUUUGCAUUUGUUUAAAGAAAAGGGAAGUUUUUCUAAAUCAAGCACAAUUUUUUAAGGAUCCUCACUCCUACUCCCCCUAUUCGGGGUUCUACUGAUAGUCGCUUUUAAAUAAUCUUUAUCAUUUUAUUUUCUGGCUCACAUCCAAUUUCCAUGUAUUGUAGGCUUAUUAAGAAGAAGUAGUAGCAGAAGUUCAAUACAUCAAUCUUCAUUGUUCAAUUUCACGUAAUAGCAACUCAGAGAAAGUUACACGCUAGUAAAAUCAUGAAUCUUCAGCAUUUUACUUAUAAACAUAAGUUUAUUAACCUUAUUUAGAACUUAGAAGUUGCAACAUGCUGAAUUUCUUCUUCUUCUUCACAUUAAUCGCUUAAAAUAUAAACCAGGUGCUCAGUUCUGUUACUUGGCUCAGCACUUGGAGACUAGGCAUGCUGCAAUUUCUUCCCAUUCUUCAUAGCAAAUACCUUGAGGAGAACAUCUUCUACAACCUGAUCAAGUUCGUUUUCAUACCAGUAUCUCAGAUUAAUUCAUAUCUUCAAAUAUUCAACUCUUUGCUCAUGUAUUAAUAUUUAAAAUAAAGAUGAAAGUCGAGUUCUUCAAGUUGAAUCUCUAAUUCUAAACAAUAUGAAUCGCACCAGAAUAAAAAUUACCUUAUCAGGGGUACUUGCACCAGCAGUCACUCCUAUGGUAAGAGGACCAUCAGCUAACCAGUUUUCCUUCUCAACCAAUUCAUUAUGCUACAUUAUACAACAAAACAAAAUCACGUAUCAAUUGAGUAAUGGUAUUAGAAACUAGAUGAUCCACGGCCAGAGGAGAAUAUAUUGGUAAACUUACUGACAGCUUGUAGGUUAUUCUGUUUCCAGGACCAAUUCUCUCCUCAGUGUCCACCCAAUACGCUGGUACGUUACUCUUCUCGGAAACCAUUUGUAAGUGACUAGUAUUAUCAGAAUUCCAGCCACCAACUACUAACAUCACAUCCAACUUAUUCUCCAGAAGUUCAUCUAAUGCAUCUUGUCGUUCCUUGAAUAAAACAAACAUGAUGAAAUUACUUUGUCCCAACUCGUAAAAAAAUAUGCUUCAAAUAGGCAAAAGACAGUAUUAAAGUUACCAGAAAAAUGUUGAUACAUUUUGUUAGUUGAGUAUCACUAGUUCUCACUAAUUACAAUUGGAGCUAAACACAAAAGGAUCAAAUUACUUGAGUAGCGUCGCAGAUGGUGUUGAAACUCAUAAAGUGGUUGUUGAUGUUUUCCACCCCGUGUUUCUGCAUCAUGGUUCGCUCAACUAAUUUCCCUGAUUUGAAAACUUAUCGAUCAGAAUGCAUGCAUGGUGCAAGCAGCAAAGGCAAUGCACAAAUUCACGUAAACUGAAUCUUGUUUUUUUUUUUUUGAAAAGAAAUAUGCUGAUUUGUUCUGCAGAAACAAUAAUAUAUUAUGAAACAACAUAAUCUUAAACCAUGAAAUGAUAAAGUACACUGUAAAUAGCCCAUACCAAAACAGUAACUUACCAAUCUCCUCUGUUUCUCCCUUCAAUGUUGUUGUUUGGUUAGCAAUUCCUACUUUUACCAGAUGAUUGUCAGGAUCAAAAUCCUCAGAAACCUUAUUUCUUAAUUUCUGCGACCAGAUAUUCAUGUAUUUAUUAAUUUAAGUACAAGUUUAGGUUCCAUCACGGUGCUACAGAAUCCGUACCUCAAGAAAUUCCUCUUUAGUUGAGCUAGAUCCAUCAAGUUCACCCCCCAGAAUGUAAUCACAGACAUAUAUUGCCUGCAAAGUAGAACAUAUAUACUGUAACCAAACCUCGAGCUAAAUGAUAUGUCAAGUUCAUGCCAUUUUGGAAAUAUUUUUAAGAGCUUGGCCUACCUCUGCUAUGUUCUUGACAACUACAUAGUUUCCAGCAAAAGAUUUGGUCCCUAUUGUCUCUUGGUGAUCAUAUUUUCCAUGAAUAAUCGACGUGUACUGUCUGCUCUUGUGUUUUUCAACUUUUGUCCAUACCUUAUAACAAAAACCUUUAAGCCUUUUAAGAAACAACUGCAGAGACAAUCAUGUCUCUACUGAAACUUAAAUGUUUAUAACGAAAGUAAUAAAUGUCGAAUUGAGAGCAGGGGCGGAUCUAGGAAUCAAACUUUUUUUUGGGGGGGGGGGGGGGCACCAAACAAAUUUUCGGAAAACACCUAUAUAUUUUUAAAUCCUGUGGAGGUGCACUUCAAUAAUUUUGCAAAAUUUAAAAUAGUGAAAAAAUAUAUUAAAAAAAAAUUAGGAGGGACACGUGUCCCCCGUGUCUCUUCCUAGAUCCGCCCCUGAUUGAGAGGUACCUUAGAUACCCAUGGACAUGUAGUGUCAACUAUCUGCACAUUUUUUUCACUCAGAAUAAUCAUCUCUUCCACUGCAACUCCAUGUGCAGGGAACAUGACAACAUCACCCUUCUCAAUAGCAUCGUAUUGUUUCUUCGAAUCCUUGGUUUUAGGAAGAUACUCAAUAUUGAGAUUCUCAAGUUUCUGGAAACAAAUCAACAUCACAUAAAUGUCAUAUAUAUCAACUUACCUUCAUUUUCGUCUAAUUGUGUUUUUUGUUGUAUAACAUUUCUCUAUAGAACCUAGCUGAUCAUAUGUCUAAAUUAAUUAAAAAUGCAUAAAUACCUUACUAAAAGUUGGAUUGUGAAUAAUUUCGUUAGUGAUCCAGAUUUUCUGAUCAGGAAACUGGUUCUUCGCCUCGUAAACUAGCUGGAUUGCCCUCUCAACACCCCAGCAAAAACCAUAUGAUUUUGCAAGUUUCACAGUAAUAUCUCCCCAUGUAUAUUCAUACUCGUUUGCCCUCAGAGUUUUUAUGAUAUCACCUACAGUACAAAAGAAAACGGGUAAGUAGUUGCAUGCAGGGGCGGAUCUAGCAUGGGAUUUCUCCAGGUAUCAAGCAAAUUUUUUAGAUCAUAUCUUUAUAUCCAUAAAUUCAAUUCUAUAAUUUUAUAAAAUUUAGAAUCAUGAAAAAAUGUGAAUUUUUUUUUUUAAAGAGGACACGUGUCCCGGCUGGUAAUCGAAACUGCUAUAUCCGGCCCCGGUUGCAUGCAUGCAUGCAAAAAACCUCCCAAAGAACAAAUUAAUGGAACCAACUUACUUCCAUACUCUCUUGAUAUUAGGUCAAGAGUCUUUUGUUUCUGUCCAAAGCCUUGCCUAUUGUAAUUUGGCCUCCUUAUCAAGUUUUUCCGAAACUUCUUGGUGUCAAACUCUGGAUCCGUCGAUAGACUUGACAUGCAUCUAAACAAGGAGAUUGGUUUAGUUGUGAGCCUGUGUUGCGUCGAAAACUGGCCAGAAGUGAGGCCGGAAAAUUGGAAAGAUAUCGACAUCUGUAAUCAGCAAGUUGAUAUGCGUUGAUGUAAUUAUGGAAAUAAUAUAUUUACCAGAUGCUGCAACUUUUAUAAUGGUGCUGAACUUCCUGCAACUUGUAGAUUUACUAUUAAAAUAAGUGAGGUGAUCCAGCGAUUGUUUGUAACCAUCUCUCAAUAGAUAACUUUUAGUUAGUCAGGAAGAAGGAAAAAAAAUAAAAUUAAGGUGGUGUUUGAGAGCCGCACAGAAGCACUUCUUAACUUUCGAAUCUGAAAAUAAGUCUCUCAUAACAUAUGUGACAAUCGGGUCAAAUACCGAGUCUUUUUCAAAAAUAGAGUCAAAUUCCAAAUUCUGAAUCCGAAAAUAAUCCCAAAUAUACUGGCCAAACUGAAUAAGCCCAAAUACACCGGCCUAGCUGCAACAACUUGAGUAAUUUACAAUACCAACACAAAUCUCGAAAAGAUCAUGAUUUUGUGGGUACAAUUAGUAGUAGUAGUACUUAUGAUUAUAAAUUGAACUAAAGUCUCCACCCUUUUCGAUGUGCGACUGAGAUGUUACAAAGAAACACUAUUUUUUAAAUUAACGCAGACGACCUUUGCAUCAAUAGCUCAUCCGUAUUUUUUUUAACUCUAACAACAUAAUUAUAGAAGAUAAGUACAGAAACAAGAUGAUGGAUCAGUAUUCAUCAGGUCAAAUCAUUAACCUUGAGAGGCCAUUGUUAAUUUUAACUAAUUAAAUGCACAUAUGGAUUUUCUAUGAAUUUUUUUAUGACAUUAAGACAGUAGGGUUGGACACAGCUCGUUGGCUUCUAUCCAAGAAAGAAAAAUAAUAAAAUGUGUACUUUCAGAUUGUAAUUGCUAUUCUGUGUCAUCCUAACAACUACAACAAUUUCUUAAUCACCUAUCCUAUUUAGCUGGAGCACGAGUCUUUUUUUUAUAGAACACUGACAGAUCCGCUGAAAUGAUUAAUAAUUUGUUGCCGAAUAUUUAGAGCAUCUCUAAGAGUCUCCUUGUUAGCUCCUAAAUAUAAUAUAAAAAAUGUGGCUCUUAGUAAUUUAGGACAAAGUUAAGAGUGUAAACUCCAACAAUAUUCUCUACAUCUCUUCUCUAAUUCAUAUUUUAUUCAUAUAUUGGGCUCCACUAUAACAAAAGAGAGGGAAAGAUGGAGGUGAAUUGGAAGGGAGGAUUUUUUUAUUGUGAAAAAAUAAGUUAGGAGCCAUGUGGUGGCUCUCAACUUUGAGGAGAGAGGAGAGAGAAACAAGAGGCUCUUAGUGAUUUAAGAGCCAUUUAAGAGUCUUUUAGGGCAACAUUUUUUUUCUCCCUCCUCAAAUCUUAAGUUAGGAGCCUAAAUGAAGAGUCUGUUGGAGAGCUCUUAGUCGGUGAAAGUUGAACGAGAUGUUUAUGUUAAAAAAUAAAGAGACCCUUAAUGUAGGUACAUCAUACAUGUUAUGUCACUCGAUGCUGGAAACAGAUUUGAAAUUUCCCUUUCGGGAUUUUCUUUUUUAAAUCACUCCUGGAAGUUUGCUUACACAAAUAAAUCUACUAAAAAGAGCCUGAAACGGCCACGAUACCUUCUCUAUCUAUCUCCCUAUUUUUACUCCAACAUCAUGAUCAUUGAGCUGCAUAAUAAUAUAUGACAUUAUCUUCAAAAUUUUAAUGGAUAAAAAGUUAAAUAUAAAAUUGAUAGUGGAGGUCAUGUAUCACUUUGCUCACUGAUCUCAACGGGAUAUCAAAUUCGAGUAUGCUUUUUCUUAACUCGGGAUUUGAUAAAAAAAUUAUUUAAAACAAGUUUCAUAUGAGGUUGUUUUAAAGAACACUUGCAAUAGCAUCAUUAUUAAUUGUUUAUUCUAUAAUGGUAUUUUUCAAACGAGAAACUUUUUCAUAAUUAAUUAUGUUCAAACCCUUUCAUCAAAUAUAAGUUCUUAAGUAGAAUCAAGUAUUUCAUAAUUUAAUAUACACAAAAUCACAAGCAUAUAUUAGUAAUCAUAAUUCUGUUGCUUUCAAAAAAAAAUAAUCAUAAUUCUGUUAUCCACUACAAAUUCAACAUAUAAAUUCAAUCAAAAUAUACUAAUAAUUAUUUAAAUUGUGUGAAGUAUUGAUAAUAGAGUUAUUAACCUUGGUGUUGAUAAAAGAAGCAACUAGAACCGAUAGAUGAAAAGUUUGACAAAUCAAAAUUUUACACUUGUUUGAUCUUCUCUCUUAAUUUCGUUAUAUGUGGAAGGUUUAUAUUCUUGAUUUGGGAUUUUGCUUGCUGCACUGUGCUGAGGGGUAAAUAAAAAACCGACCUAACCCGCCUCUUAUUUUGGCAAAAUAAACCGAACCGUCCAAAACCCGAUAUAUAGCUGGGUUCAUUUUAUAUUAACCCGAAUAUAUUGGGUUGGGUUAGAAUUUAUGAAAUAUUAACCCUUAUGCAGCCCAACCCUACCAUUUACAUAAUACUAGUCCAAUUUUAAAUUAAAAUUAUUGUCGUAUUUAUAAGUUGAAGUCAAUUUCACACUUGUGUGUAGGGGUAAGCAAAACCGAACCAGAACCGAAAAACCAAACCGAACCGUAUAAAUUCGGUCUGGUUUGGUUCUAAUUUUUUCAUAAUUUUGGUCUAUUUGAUUUUUCGGUCUGGACAGAAUUAAAUUUCGGUUUGGUUUGGUCUUUCACAAAAAAUUCGUUUUUCGACCGAAUAGAACGAACUUUUUAUAUUAAUAUAUUAAAUGUAAUAUAUGUUAAUAGUAAUACUAUGAGGCCGUUUGGCUGAGUUUAAAAGAAGUGACUUAUUACUUAAAGUAAAGAAGUGGAUAAGAAUUGAGAAGUUGGUUUGGACUUAUAAGCUAUUAUAAGUGUUUGGAUACCAAGACUUAUAAGUUUUUUAAGUGUUUGGAUAACCUAACUUAUAAGUUAGUAUAGUUUCGUAGUUUUGUAAUAUAAUUAUUUGAUAUUUAUGAAAUAAAUUGAGAAAAGUUGAUGAAAAUAUUAGAUUAGAUUAAUAUUUAUAUUAUAUAAAUUUUUUUUUCUCACAUUUAACUAUUUAAGUGAUGUAUAAGUGUGUGUAAAAAUUUAUCUAAAUAUUAAUAUAUUUGAGUAUUUCAUAAAAUUGAAGACAAAAAUUUUAAUAAAAAAAUUUCUUAUAUUCAAUCACCCCAUAUUUGGAUGGAGAUAACAUGAAGUAGACAACAUGAAUAAAAAAUAAACAAAAAUAAUAGGUUGUUUCACAGAAAAAAACAAAAACAAUAGGUAGCAGAAUAUCACGGGUUUAGAACAGAAACAACAGUGCGUGACAGGAAGCUGAAAAAAGCUGGAGUUCCCCAAAAAGCCCCGUUUCAUAGCUUUUCUCCUUGACUUCUUUUACUUUUUUUAAGUACUUUGUAUCAUUUGCCAAACACACAGCAGAAAAGAGGAAGUGGACUUCUAGGCUUUUAAGCCCAGAAAUCCAAUUCCCAAACACCCCCUAUAUCUUUCUUCUUAGAUUAUAAGUCUGAUUCUAGAAUCCUCACCCCAGCUGAAACAUAAUAAUCUGAUUUAUAUGUGAAUCCACGUAUCUGUAGCUUGUUUAUAACAAAUACUUCCCCAGAAUAGCAACCAUUUCCGGUAGAGAAAAAAUUAGUGUUUGUAGUGUUAAUGGAGGCUACAAACAGUCCACUGAUUAUCACUGAAAAAUGCUGGAUCACCUGGUUUGGCCCUUUCUCCUAAUUAGAUGAUAAUCAUCUCCUUUUUGAUUAUAGUUUGCUUGAAGUAUAUGUGUGGAGUGUGGAGAUUCAUGUAAGCUUCCUUUUACUCUGAAAAAUCUGGCAGGAGAUGCAGCAACUUGGAAGACCAAAAAUCCUCUUUCUUGCGAUUGGAAUGUCAAAAAGACAAAAAGAAUCGGUUCUUAGAGAAAGAACCGAACCGGAUUAUUCCGGUUCGAUUCCGGUUCGACAAUAAGAUAAUUUCAGUUCGAUUCGAUCUGGGAAAAAUUACUAGUUCAGUUCUUGGUUCUUUCGGUUCGGUCUAGUUCUGGACCGAACCAACCGAAUGCUCAUCUCUACUUGUGUUAUUGUUAUAGUGUUAUAAUAAAUGAUGUUCAUUGUAAGGUUGAUAACUAAUUAUUUUACUCCACUGACAAUAUUCAAACAUUAAAUGUUAAAUCAUAUAAAGAACUCAACUGCAAAUGUUUUCUGUGGAAUGAUUUGCAAAUGUGAAAAGUGUGAUAAAUAUUAUUAUCUGAAAAAUAUUAAAUGUCUUUGAAGAAACUAAGUUUUAUGCGUUUCUCGUCAAAUAAUCAUUAUAUAGCACGAACUAUGUACAUAUGUAUACAUGUUUUGUGGACAUAAUAAAAAUUGAUUGUAGUGUUUUAAAUUAUUUUGUGACUUUGACAAGGUAAUAACCUGACCCAACCCAAUGUAUAAAUUAUAAAAAUCGGUAAAAUAUAAUUUUUGAGGGUCGGGUUCAAAUUUUUAUAAACCGAAUAUAGUGGGUUGGUUUGAUUUUAUGCUCAAGCCCGGCUAACUCGACCCAUGUUCAUCCCUAACUGUGCUAGACAACCGAACUUUAAUUUUAGAAAAUAUUGUGGUUAAAAAAUUUCAAAUUUUGAUCAUCACAAUACCAAAUCCGAGCUUCCACCAUGAAAGCAAGACAUCACAUGAUAAAUUUUGUAUGAUAAAAAUGAUUGAACAUUAUAGAUUCCACUAGAGCAAUAUCGACAUUGUCACCGGUCCGACUCCAGCCAUGACUGUCUUUAACAUUACGUAUUUACUUUUCAAAAAGAAAAUAUAAGUAUAAAAAUGUUUAUAUGAUUCCAAAAAACUGUAUCAAAUAAUUAAAAAUUAUUCUUAAUUUAUGAAAAUAUUUGUCUUAACUUUCAAUUCACAUAAUCAAAUUUCAUAUAUUAAUUAUAAAUUAAUGAUCUUUCAAAUUCAUGUAUUAUAUGUAAUCAACUGAUCUCUUAAAUCAAUAAUUCACAACUCCAACUAUUUUAUAAAUAAUUUUUAAUUUUAUCCAUCACAUCACAUAUCAAACUACUUGAGAAGCCGCACAAUUAAUAUUUGUAAAAUAAAAUAAAUUUGCGGCGUCUUAUAAAAAUCAUAUUAGUGAUUCAAAAUUAAUAUUUGUUGAAUUAAAUAUAUUUUAUAUUAUAAACAUCUUGAGUAUGAACAGAAAAAAUACCUAAGAGUAUAUGCUUGUCAUUAAUACGAGCAUUAAUCAUGUCAGGACGUAUUACUCAAAUCCAUGCAGGGGUAUAUUGGUGUUUUUGAUAUACAACUUUUCCAAAAAAUAUGGUCAUAGUCUUGGAAGAAAAGUAAAUCUUUUUCGUAAAAUUUAAAAACAACAAACAUGUCCGAUGAACAAAACAAAUAUUAUAAAAGAAUAACAACAAACAUAUAUUACUAACAGUUAAUUUAUUGACCUUUUAUCCAUCAAUAUUAUGUCAAGACUAUAUUCUUCUUCCAUGUUUGGAUUUGUCGACUCCCACGUCGACAAACUCUUACUCUUAACAGUCAAUCAUCUUUAUCGCUAUUCCAAGCAUAUAGUACUCCCUCCGUCCCUUUCAUUUCUUUACCCUUUCCUUUUUGGGAUGUCCCACCCAAUUCUUUACAUUUCAAAACUUACCAAAAAUAGUCGAUGGUCCCACCACUUCUCCACUUUUUCUUCCGUUUCACACUACUUUUACCUCACUAUCUUCUUUUAAUACAUUAAAAAUCAAUGAAUCCCACCACUACACCCACUUUUUUUUCUCUUUUCCACUACUUUAUACAUAUUUCUUAACCUCCGUACCCAACCCAUUUGAUACGGAGGGAGUAUAACUCAUUAUUGUAUUAGAUGGAGAAGAUACAUAGACAAAAAAAAUUGUUUAUGUUAAAUUUUAUGAUGUCUGACCUCAAUUUAUAGGGGUUGAUUUGAAAAAAAAGCCGAUUUAUGUGAAUUUUUUUUUCAGCUUUUGAUAUUAACCUUUUCCAAAAUUAUGAUCAUAGUCUUGGAUGAAAAGUAAGCCUUUUUCUGUAUCAAAAUAAUUGAAAAGAAGUUUAAAAACCCUGAUUUGAUAUUUAUUAAGGUAGGUAGUUUUUAUUUUUGAUAUAUUGAAAAAGGUAGUUUUGAAACUUUGUUCAAAUAUAUCCGAAACUAAAAAGAUUAAUUUUUAUUUUUGAUAUUUUUAAAAUUAAAAUCAUAAUUUGAAAUUUUCUUCCAAUAAUUUUGAUAUUAAAAAAGGUAGAUAGAUUUCAUUUUUGAUAUUUUGAAAAAGAUAAUUCUGAAACUUGCUUCUAACAUAUCCGAAAUUAAAAAAAGUAUUUUUAUUUUUGAUUAUUUUCAUCUAAAAAUUCAAGAAAAUCAGAAAAAUAGAACGGACCUCUCUCAAUCUAGACGCGCUUCUCGUUUAUAUAAAUAUAUAUAUAUAUAUAUAUAUAUUUUAUUUAUUAUUUAUUAUUGAUGGUUGAUGAUUAUUUUAAUAUCUUGACACUAUAUUCGUAGAAAUAUUAACAAAAUAAUAUUUUAAAUAAAAAAAUAAUUUAAAAGCAAUUUCCUAAUAUUAAUUUUUAAUUAAAAUGAUUAAAUAUCGGGAAACACUCACGGGAUGUAUUCGAUUGGGAUUUUAAUGGAUUAUUUUUAAUUUAUGGAUUUUAAUGGAUUGUAUGAGAUUUUGAUUUGUGCGGAUUCUUGAUAAAAUGUCGCAGAGUUGAUAGGAUUUAAGUACAGUGUUCAAAAUUCGAUUGAUUUUGGUGGGAUUUCAAAAAACUUAAAAUACACUGAAAAAUGCUGCAAAAUCCAUCAUUUUGCGAAAUGCAAUAAAAUCUAUCAGCAUUUGAAUACCAUCAGAUUUUAAAGCAUUAUUUGAAAUUCCAAUUGAAUACCACUAGAUUUUGUAGCUUAAUUUAGAGUCCCAAUUAAAUACCUCAAGAUUUUAAGAUAUUUCAAACAAUCCCAAUCGUAUAUCCUGAAAUUUUAUGAAUGCAAAAAAAUGCUUUAAAAUCCCAAUCUAAUAAAACCUUUCUCAAACUAUAAGAUGCUAAGGGGUAAACGUAAAACCCCAAUUUUCCACCCCCUCUGCCUUUCCUUUCCCAUCCCGGCACUCCCAUUAACUCUGAUCACUUUUAUUAACACACACAAAAACACAAUAAAACCCACAAAAACACACCCAACUGUGUGAAAACAAAGAUGGGUGAAGAAUGCACGAGCAUAGAAGAUUACUGCUACUCUGAUUAUGAACAGGACUCAGUUGAUGAGAAUUAUGGUGAUUUGGAGGCUGAGUCUCAGAUGAUCUUGCCUAAACGCCCUUCUACUAAGGUCUUUUAUGUUUUUAGCACAUUGGUUUUAAUGAAGUUGUGAUUUUUAUUACAUUGGUUUCUAAAUUUUCUUGAUGAUUGUGUGAACAGUGGUUUGGUUUUGGUGGGGUUUGUGGUUGGAGGAAUUGGGGUGAUGGGUUGUGUUAAAUUUGGGAUUUGGUGUGAUUUACGGCGAUUUAUUGGGUUUUGAAUGAUUGCUUUUUGCGGGGUUUAGGUAGUGUUUUGUUUUUGUUAAAGGGUGUAAUGUGGAUGUUGGCUUGAGUUUAGGGAGUAGGCGGUCGUAGUUUAAGGUGUUUCUUGUGCUUUGAUUGAUGAAAAUUGUUUGGAUUGUUUGAAUUUGUCGAUUAUGGAAUGUUGAGGUGAUGGGUGGUUGUAAUUGCAUGUUGUAUGAAUUUUACUGCAAUUUGUGGUUUGUUGAAUGAUCUCCUUUUUGGGGGGUUUAGUUAGUGUUUUGUUUCUUGUUUACGCGUAUAAUGUGGAUCUUGGUUUGAGUUUAGGAGGUAGGUUGUGUAAUUUAAUGUGUUUUCUUGUGCUUUAAAUUAAUGAAUUUGUUUGAUUUUGGUACUUGAAGGUAAUGUUAUAUUGAGGUUGUUGCGAUGACAUGGUUUUGCGAUUCCAUGGCAAAUAAUUGUUUCUUAUAUGUUGUGUUGGGGUUCAAGCAUGGUCUCAUUGUUUAGGCAUUUUAAUUAACAAAAUUUAGGCGGGGAAGAAUGGCUUUUAAAUUUUAAGAGUCGAAAGUCGAGCAUAAUUAAGAGACCUUUGAGGUAAGAUGGGUUGCUUUGAUUUAGUUCUUGGGUUAUGGUGCAUGCCAGUUCAGUUAAAUGCUAACUUAGUAUAUUGUUGUUUAAUCUACUAACUUAAACCAUCAUAUUGCUGCUUCUAAAGUUCUUUAAAGAAUUAAACAUAACUUCUAGAAAAUCUUUUGCAGGUUAUCACAAAAGAGUCCCUUCUGGCAGCACAGGUAAGAACAAAUUACACAGUUACUUUUCUCCUUCUUUCUCACUGUUCUUGUGCUUAACAAGGUUCUUUUGGCCCUUGUUUUGGAUUUUAUAUGCAUCGGUGUUUGUGUAGAAAGAAGACGUACGUCAAGUGAUGGAAUUGCUAUCCUUAAGAGAACAACAUGCUCGCACUUUGCUUAUUCAUUAUCGCUGGGAUGUAGUAAAGUUGACUGCAAUUCUUGUUGAUAGGGACAGAGAUUAUUUGUUUUCUCAGGCAGGUGUACCUUUGGAUGAGAACCAUGUUGUUGGUUCUCUGGUGUGUUCAUCUACAGUUAUGUGCACUGUUUGCUUGGAAGAUGUGCCUGGAAGAGAGGUAACAAAAAUGGACUGUGGCCACAGCUUUUGCAACGAUUGUGAGCACUAUUUCCUUUAUGAUUUUUUUUUCUUGACAAAAUAGUCCACAACAUGACUAGGCAGUCUUUAUCAUUUAAUACUUUUCUUUUCUGAAUUGGUAUAUCAUUGAUGGUGUGAAUCCAGCACCUUAUUUAUAACAGUGAAAAUUCUUCUACUCUUCCCUUGUUGAUGUCCUUUACCUUCCAUGACCCAGUGACACAGAUAGCAAGAGUGACUAUUUUCCUAACAGAGUCUUUAGUUCAAAGACUUGAUUCUGCAUCCUUUCUAUUUAAAACUUAAAAAAGAAAAUUCUUCUGGGAGAGUUACAGAAAAAGAAUUCAUUAAAUCCCUAGGUCAUUUACAGUAAAAGAAAUCAUCAAAUCCUGAAAAUUAACUACACCGUCAUUAUUGGCACUGUUUCUUGGAAAGCUUUAGCCUGAUGUAGAUGUAUAUAACAUAUAUCAAUUGAGUGCUUCUCCUCUUCAUGCCCCAGCCCCCCUGUGGAGCAGUUGUGAACAUACCUUCCUUGUGAGAUUCAUUGGUCUAUAAGACCAUCAGUCCUGUGAAGAUCUGGAGUUCAAACUGUGGUUUCUUCUGACAAGUUUAGCCUUUAGAAUCACAGCUAUACUAGGCAGCCUACAGUUAAGAGUAUCUGCUAUGAUGGUCCUUUUUUAGUCUUUUAUGCUUAGGUUUAAAAUUCUGGAACCUGUUACACUUUUAUGUGGUAGCGGUACUCUCAUGCUGCGCAUCUUUCUUUUCAGGCUGGACAGGCCAUUUCAUUGUUCAGAUUAAUGACGGGCAGAGUAAGCGUAUAAAGUGCAUGGCUGAAAAAUGCUUUGCCAUUUGCGAUGAAGCUGUCAUCAGACAACUGGUUAGUAAAAGGCACCCUGCUUUGGCUGAGAAAUUCGAGCGAUAUCUUCUCGAGUCAUAUAUUGAGGACAAUAAAAUGGUUAAAUGGUGCCCAAGUGUCCCACAUUGUGGAAAUGCUAUACGCACCGAGGACGAUGAAUUUUGCGAAGUAGAAUGUUCUUGUGGCUUACAAUUCUGCUUCAGUUGCUUAUCCGAAGCCCACUCCCCUUGUUCAUGUUUAAUGUGGGAGCUUUGGAGCAAAAAAUGUCAGUUGGAAUCAGAAACAGUUACUUGGAUUUCUGAUAAUACUAAAGCUUGUCCCAAGUGUCACAAACCUGUGGAGAAAAAUGGUGGCUGCAACCUUGUGCGUUGUGUUUGUGGGCAAUAUUUUUGGUACUACUUUCUAUCUCCUGCUAUUGGCUUGUUUUUGCAAUUGCACACUUGCACCAGUAUAUAGAUUGAAGUGAUAGUAUUGUGCUAUAACUUUUUGGUAGCUGCUCAAAUUUGGAGAUUUUAGUGCUCUAACCGUAUCUGCAGUUUUCUACUCCCUCCAGCCUACCCAUUCCUUUACACUUAGUUUGGACACGGAAGUUAUAGAAGGAAGAAAAGUGGGUAAAAUGAUAGGAUCAUCAAUAUUUAACAUUAAAUUCUAGUAAAUUAGUAAAGUUGAGGGAAGUAGUCGGUCUAAUCAAUUUGUUAAUUGUUAAAAUUUUACUACUUCUCAAAAAUUUAAAAAUGUAAACAAUUGACAGAGACAUCCUAAAAUAGAAAAUAUAAAGCAUUUCUAUGUUCGGUUAAGGUUAUAAUUGGUAAUGGUAUUAAACUACUAAGAAUAAAGAAAACUAGAGAAGAAAUCCUUUGACCUUCAAUGCUCUCAUAAGAGAAGUAUCCAUGUUCUCUCUCAUAGCCUCUUUCUAUCCUCUCUAACCCUAAUAGCAUUUUUAAUCUAAUUGUAUACAAUGAUAAUAAAGGCCCUGUUUGGUGGCAACUUUUUUUAUAAUUUAAGGGCUUGUUUUUUUUUUUUGAAAAAUGUAUAUUUUAAUAUUUUUUUAGAUAUAAAAUGUUAAGGUGUUUUAUAUUCGUUAUUUAGCAAAAAAAUAAGCGCUUAUUUUAGAAAAAAGUAGAGUUAUAUGUACUUUUCUCUAGAAAUAAGCCAGAAAAAAUAAGUUUGGCCAAACAACCAAAAAUAUGGUCCUAUCUCUCAUAAUAAAAGUAUUUUUAAUGUUUUAUUUAAUAUUAAUAUAUACAAAUAAAACUUCAAUAUCGAGUAGAAUUCUUCCUCAAAAUUCGUAGCUGUAUUUGCUAUUAAGUUUACGGGCUUUUUUAGUUGGAUUUUGCUUAUUGGAUCACCUCUGAAUUAAAGAGAAUUCUGGAACUCAAGAUAUGGCCCAAACAACGUAGAAAUUGUGUAUAGCCAAAUAUAUCCGAUUUUCCAUCUAAUUUUGCUUUAAAGUAGCUAUUUUUCCUCAAAUCCUUCUCAACUUAGGAAUUCUUUAUUUCCUGCAAUAAAACAUUAAAAUCUACUCCUUCCGUCCCCCUGAGUUGUAUACGCAGGGGGAGCGGCAUGCACUUUAAUGCUUCUCUAAAGUAUAGUUCUAUAACUUAUUUUUCGAUUUUUUUUCUGAAUAAAAAUUUAAUAGUUAAAUUUUUAUUCAGAAAAAAGAAAAUCUUAAAAAUAAAUUACAGAACUAUAUUUUAUAUUUUAUAGAAGUAUUAAAAAGCGUGCCAAAUAGUGAACUUAUAGAAUCUAGAGGGACGGAGGGAGUGCUAAAUAAAAAUCCAGUUCAAUGAAAAAACAAUCACAUAUGGAAAUAAAAGUUUAUAAAACAUAUAUAAAAAUAUAUUCUAUCAAUGGUAUAUGCUUCAGAGAUUUGAUUGUACCAGCUAGCGAAACGAAGAAGAUAACUUAAAAAAGUAAUUUAUUCACUUAUAUUAGCUCUCUCGUUCUGAUCUAUGUAGCCUUUUUAUUAUUAUUAUUUUUCCGCAAGGAGCUGUUUCUAAGCGUCGAAGCUGUGACCUAGAGGAUUUGAUUAGUUUUAAUAUUAUUUUAACCACUGUGCAUCAACUUUUGGCUGGCUGCUUAAUAGGCCACAUUUUUUCGUAUUUAUGUUGCUGAAAAGUGAAACAAGUUAAUUGACCAGAAUAGAGUUUUGGGGAGUUCAUUCUAUGGGCUCAAAACAUGUAAUUGUACAAUGUUUCUCCUUACAACUUUUGGGGGAGGCCAUAAUUUUGCAUGUCUAUUGUCAUUCCACAAGUUCAUAUAUGUUAACAUCUGCAUCUCUGUAAAAGACGAGAAUUUACAUAUCACCUGUUUACAUCAUUCCCGUGAAAUUCUAGCGGCUGUAUUAUGAUUCCUUAAUAAAUCUACUUUUCACAAGUUCCUUUCUUUUCGAAUUUGCAUAACACCUGUUUACAUCAUUCCCGUGAAAUUCUAGCUUCUGACUUUAUUUUUAUGUAAAUAGUUGGUUGUGUGGUGGAGCAACUGGUAGGGAUCAUACUUGGACAACAAUUAGUGGACACAGUUGCGGUCGUUAUAAAGAAGAUAGCAGUAAGAAUUCUGAACGUGCAAAGCGGGACCUCUAUAGAUAUAUGCACUAUCUGAAUCGUUUCAAAGCUCAUAAAGAUUCUUUUAAGAUGGAAUCUGAACUGCGGGAGACCAUCACGGAGAAAAUUGAGGAUUUGGAAAACAAAUAUUCGAAUCUAAGAGAUUUUGAUUGGGUCAGAAAUGGUGUUUCCAGACUAUUUAGAUCAAGGCGUGCUCUUACAUACUCGUACCCCUUUGCAUUUUAUAUGUUUGGGGACUACCUUUUUAAGGACGAGAUGACUCCAAAGGAACGAGAAAGAAAACAGCUUUUAUUUGAAGACCAGCAACAGCAGCUCGAGGGAAAUGUUGAGAGUUUAUCGAAGUUUCUUGAAGAGCCAUUCCACGAGUUUCUUGAAGAACAACUUAUGGACACUAGGAUGCAAAUCCUUAAUCUUUGUGUGAUUACUGACAACUUGUGCAAAAAAAUGUGAGUACAGCUUCCCUAGAACUCUAAAAAUACCAAUAAUAUCUACGUGGUCACUAACUACUUACUUGCAGGUAUGAAUGCAUCGAAUAUGAUUUAUUGGGUUCUCUCAAGUAUCGAACUCAAUGUAUUGCUCCUUACAACUCAGAAGGCAUUGAAAAGGCAGCGGAACUAUGUUGCAAUGCUGAAGCCAGUACAGGACGAUUAACAUAAACUAGAUAAUGAUCAGAGGUGGUAAAGUGGUCUGAACUCUGAACUUGUUGGAUUCUUAGUCCCCCUAAGGAUUCUGGUCCCACGUGACUUGGUUUUGUUAGCUAAACAAGCCAAAUGCUUUUCGUUUUACCCACUCUUAGAUCCUCAAUAGCAUUUACGGAGAAAGUUUAACGGUUUACAACUUACAAUUAUCUAUAUUUCUAAAGCUAAUAUAUCAUAGAAAACUUAUUAUGUAAUGUGGGUGGUCCUUAUAAUUUAUGUUUCAGUUCUGACGUCUCAAUUUGAAAAGGUUUAGUGUCCUUUCCCACUUAACUUGCUAGUUGACCUUUUCUUUAUUGCAGCCCGCAAUUGACCAUAUUUUAGAUGGCCCUUCAUGUUACUUGUGUUUUUGGCGUACCUUGCGCAUUGUUGUCAUAUUAAUAUUUGCGUGUUUUCUUUUUGAAAGGAUGUAUAGUCAUAGUGAACUUUCCUAUGUGCCUUGGUGGUUAUUAUUUGUUCUUGAAAAAAAUUGAAAUUCUGUAGGAUGGAUGUCCAAUGGAAUCGUAUCAGUCAUUUGGUUCUUGGAGUUUAGAUCAUAUUGGAUUCUCGGCAGGAGUUUAGAUCAUAUUGGCUGCUUUUCUUGAAAGCGGUCUAGAACAGGGUGAUUCCGAGAGGGUGGCCUCCUUGAUCUAAAUUCUCCUGCAGAAAUCAUCUGAACAGUAACCAGGUUGGUGCUUUUCUAUACACAAGUGCAGAGUUAUAACCGAGUGCCAACUCUCUUCUGAUAAUUGUUGAGCAUUCCCUAGAUAGUAUAGGACCUUGUAGGUGAGUCUUGUAUAGCUAGUAGUUGUAGUUACUCGAAUUCUAAUUAGGAAAAAACAGAUGUGGAUACGUCGAAUAUCUAAUGAGAAACAUUUUUUCGUAAUAAAAAUUCAUUCAAAUUUAAUUCAAUAAUGAUAAAAACUCGAAUUUGAAUUUUGUCUAUAAAGUUGAGUAACCACCUAAUAUCAGCAUAUACAAAUUGAGCCAACUCAAAUUUAUAAAAAUGUCAAAACUUCCUUCUUGUCACUCGAAAAUAUUAAAAUUCAUACUUGAAUUCACAAAAAGAAAAUUUUAAAAACAUUAACUCUAACUAUACGGGCAAUGCACUUAAAAAUAUGUGCACAAAAAUCAAACGUCAAAUAUUUGAAAACAGAGGUAAUAUUUAACAAGUUAUUUUAAAUUUUCUCCGAUAUAAUUUAAUAUUUUAAUACUUAUAUCAGUGUUGUAAAUAGUGAUUGAUCAUGAUUAAUGACUUACUUUUAUAACAGAGUUUAUAUACAAAAAUAAUUUUUUUAAAAAUUAUAUAAAUUUAUAUUUUAUAAAAUUUUAAAAUGUGUGUCAAGUAACGUAAAUAGAUAUUAAAUAAUGUAAAAAAUCGUAAAGAAAUGUAAAAGUGAAGGAGGAAUAUUGUUUCAAUAAAACGAAAAUAGAAGGAGACAAAUUCAAAAAGAAAUGAAAUCGAAACGGAAGAAAGUGAUUGGAUAGAAAUUUUGGCAGCAUAUAAUAAAAGAACAUAGUCAUCUAUCUGCUCAACAAAAUAUCAUCAAACCACAAUCACUUAAAUACUGAGUAGUACAUAUACUAAAAAUAAAAUAAAAUAAUAAAAAAUAUAUAUUGUGUGUCUACACUCUACACUGCUCAACACCCUUGCAAACCUCAUUAGCCUAGCCUCUUUUUGGCGCUUCUAAGCUGCUUCUUUUCUCUUCUUCUCCCUUUUGUUUUUGCACAGAAUUGAAAUGGAUGUUGAUGGUAUUGGUUUGGUUCUUGCUAGGGCUUCUGAAUUGAGGUCCAAGAUUGGUUCUUAUAUUCUAAAAAAAUCAGCCCAAAUCAAUGGGAUUACUGAGGAAGAUGGUGCAGAAAAAACCCAUUUUUCUGGGUCUGAUAUGGUGGACAAUGAAGCUGUAGAUGAGGAUCUUUGUAAUAUUCAAGAUGCAUUUGAGUCCCUUGAAGCCCAGCUUUCUUCUUUGCAGGUUCUUGUUUUACUUCAAGAAUUUAAAGUUUUGAUUUUUAGGAUAACCCUUUUGUUGAAUUCUUGAUAUUUUCAUUUCAGAAGUUAAUGCUUUGAUUUUUAUGACAACCCUUUUGUUGGAUUCUUGAUAAUUUAAUCCAAGAAAUAAUUUCUUGAUUUUUAUGAGAACCCUUUUGUUGAAUUCUUUAAAAUGGCUGAAAUAGCUAAGUAGAUUUCAGUUGUGUUAGUUAUAAACAUGCUAUUAUUAAUAGAUAGAUAGAUUGGUAUGUUAUGGUCAAGCUCUACUUGACAACGAGCAAAGUAAUUUUUGGUAUAUAUUGUCAACCUCUCGAAUGGCAAACAAUGGAAUUGAGACUCUCCAUGGCCUUAAGGUUUUGUUGUUUAAUGUAUAAGGUCAAAUAUGAAAAAUUAAAGUGCUGUUUUCAUUUAAAUUGGUCAAAAUGAAUUAUUGAAGUUUAAAGUUGUGUUAUGUAGUCUCGAAAUAAAUCUUAAGCUUUGGAGACUUGUGUUUAAGGAUUUGAGAUAGAUAAAUAUAGGAGUGUCUGAAUGCCUAGCCAGUAUCUAGAAAGAACCAUAAACCGAAAGUAACCUUUCACUUUUAUCAUUUUAACCAGCUCAUUGAGAUUAUUCUGUAUUAGCACAAGUUAUAAGUUGCUUAUUAUCGUCCACCAUGUUCAAAUGAGAGGUAUGUCAUAGAUUUAAUGAUUUUAAUUUAAUUAUUUAAGACCCUUCUUCUCUCAGUCUGAUGAUUAUAUAUAGAAUAGGAAUAAUUGUUCUUAAACAAUGAACAACCGAACCCACUGAGUUGCAUGUCCACACAACUGAUAUGGGUUAUAUGGAAAAUAUUGUGUUUGUAUGUAGAAGCCUUUCCUUCCUCUUACUCGGGAGUUAGUCUUCCCGUCUAAAGAUCCAAAAGGGCUGCUUAAGUUAGAAAUCUUGAAUAAAGAUGCGGCGACUCAAUUCACUCCACAAUUUUUACUCUAGAAGUAUUUUUUGUUUCUUCCUCAGGUCCUUGUGCAACAUUUUGCUAGAAUACUUGUCUGUUUUAAUUGUCUCUUGACUUUCAGCACUCAAUAAACUUCUUAUUUGUUAUUGAAUGAUUGCCAUACAAGAGAACUGGGUUCGAAGUCUUGUUGGUGUGUCCACCCUUAACCAAUUAUACAGUGAAGCGGCUAAGUAAUGGUUAGGUACUCUUAUAGAUUGAGAGUCGUUUGCUGAUGCACCAGUUUUUACUGUUGUGACUUGUGAAGUAUAAUAAGUCCUGCCCUGUUAUAUGAGUUCAAAUUUGGGUGUCGAAACUUCCUGUAAAUUCUCUUCAAUAUUACACGAUAGAGCUCUGUUAUAAAUUUCUUGACAUUGUACCAGAGUUUACUGUAUAUCGGUAUCAGUUUUAACUCAAAGUACAACAGAAGUUACAGAACUGAGAAAAACUUAUGGCGGCAUGGAUAUGCUUUGUAUUCCUCUUCAUAUGUUUCGCUAAUCACUAUAAGUCUCUUCAUAAUUAACUUUUGAUGGCCAGGCACUACAACAGCAGCAACAUUAUGAAAGGGAAACAGCAUUGGCAGAAAUUGAUUACAGCCGCCAAAAGUUGCUCAAGAAGUUGAAGGAUUACAGAGGUGAGGACUUGGAAGUCUUAAAGGAGGCUACUGCUUUUGCCAGUGAAACAGUAGAAGACAACAAUGAUCUUCUUCUUCCUCCAUAUCCAAGCCGACCAUCUCGUUCCCUAGCUUCUGAAAAUGGCUUUCUUGCACACUUGCCUUCCACAUUUACUCAUCCUCAAAAUGGGUUCACAAAUGGUGACCCAUCAAAUAAUUUGGGGGCAAGUCCCCAAGAUUCUAAAACAUAUAAAGGGCAAACUGAAUCUAAGAGCCCAUUUAGACUUUUCAUCAACGUGGCAACCAAGACAGUACUUACUGUAGUGAGUGUAGUAGGGUUCCUAAGUUUGGCUGGUUUUGACCCUAAGCUCAGAAAAAGGGAUGCUCAAUUCAAAGUUUCAGGGAUAUUUCAAAGCCAAGAGACUGAAGGAAAGAGACCAUGGAUUCAGUGCCCUCCAGGAAAAGUCCUGGUGGUCGAAGAUGGUGAAGCUCGAUGCCUUGUCAAAGAAAGAGUUGAAGUUCCAUUCAAGUCGGUUGAUAUGACACCCAAUGUAAAUUAUGGGUGUGGAUAAGAUGGUACUUGAGCCCUCCCCUUUGUACAUGCCGUAUCUUUUCUUCAUGGUGUGAUCAAGAUAACUUAAAGCUUAGAGUCUAAGACUACGUAUUCAAGUUAAUGAUCUAGUUGUAGAAUUAUAAUCCUGAUAUUGUUUUGCUAUAUUAAAUUAUUCUCUUUGUUUGGAUCUCUGAUUGACAUUUCACUUGCUUUGAGAUUAAAUGAAGUGCUUUUUGCGGGUUUGUCACAACAUCUUUCCUGAGGUUUUAUCAAUGUAGAUUAUGUAAGAGUGAAAAUAAGAAACUGACAGGAGAUAUAAAACACACACACACACACACACACACACAAGUUUGAUUAUAUAUAGAUAACAUGCAAUUGGUUCAUCAACUUUUAUUUUUCACAAGCUGCUACCUUAAACACCAUCAAGUUCUAGACUAGUUCUGAACUAAAACUUCAGAUAGAUUUGAGUUAUUUUGACAUCAAGGAGCCCACAACUCCAACUAUCAGAGUUGUAGGAUCUCCCAGAACUGCUGAUAUAACAAAUUGCAGAGCCAAAGCCCCAAUUUCGCAACAUUUCCUCACUUUGGUUUUACUUCUCCUAUGUUGAUUUUGCAUCAGUGUCCCCUUCAAACUAGGAAUCCCAUUUCUCAAGCCAUAAGAAUUCAGCCUCCCCCCAAAAUAUAUCUCAUGCCAUGUUUCGACCAACAUCUCCUUCACGCAAGCAACAUGCAGAUUAUAUUUCUUACAUUCAGACCUGUAACUCCAGCUCCUCCUCCCUUUUCGACCACACUUGUGACAAGUUGACCUUACCUUCCUAUACAAAAACAACUUCAUUUCUCCAUCAUCGAGCAUGGUAGGGAGCUUUGCACAACACGGAUGGAGAUCAUAUCCACAUGAGUGGCAGUGGUAAACAAACCCUGUCACGUCCUUUCUGCAAGCAUUGCAGUAGCGUGCUUUGGUGCCUGGUGGACGUGCUAAGAACUCAAACGAACAUUUCCUGUAGAACGGGUGAAAUAUUGAUGGGGAUGUCGGGAUUGCACAAUGCAUGUGCAGAUCAUAGUCACAAAUCUUGCACGUGUAUUUUGAUCCGAUCCCAGCUUCUUUGCAGCCAUCACAUUUGAAUGGUGUUUCUGUGUACUCGAAUUUAAGCUUGUGCUGAGGAUGGCUGAAGUGUGAUAUGAACUCUUUCGUGUACUUCAUGGCUUCUGAGCUCGAAAACACACACAUAUGCACAUACACAUUGCUUAUCUCUGUAUUUAUAACCAUUUACAUGAUUGAUAGAACUUUAGAAUAUUGAUUUGAAGGAUAGAGAAAUGCCGUAUUGUUGAAGCAUAGCAAGAAUGAGUCAAGAUAGGGAGUCAUGAGACAUGGGGAAGAACAGACACAAGGCAUCUUUCUUGGUUCCAUGCCUCCUCCCCUGAGAAUAUAUUCUAUUUUUUGAGUUCUAGUAGAACAACUAAUCCAAAAUGUGUACUGUUAUUGUCAUACGCUUAAGAUCACGGACAAACCUGCAUUAAGGACUAUCAGGAAUGUGCUUAUGCUUGUGUUUGUAGAUCAGAUUCGCGCAUUAGGGACUAAUUAUGAACAUUAGGACAAAUUUCAAGCAUGAAUUGACUCCCAAGUUGGGACUUGAGAUAGUUGUGAAGAUAGGUAGCUAAUUCAUCAAGUAGGGCACUUUUAUGAUUCUAUCUGAAGGAUGUUGAUAUAGAAUGCAAAAGGCAUCACAAUCGUCCAUUUAGAUAGACAUGCUGGUCUUAAAAUAUCGAUUGCUCAGUUUUCGCCAGAAAGUAGGGCUGCAAUUUGCAGAAAAAUGUUUUUCAGAGGUUAGUAUCACCGGUUCAUCUCGCACACUGGUUUGAUUUCAGGUUACUCACAAGUUGAGCACCUUUUUACCGUGAAAAAUGUUCUGUAGAACCCUGAGAACCAAAUGUUCUGCACUUGAACAAAAGUGCAGAACGUAUGGUUCUCCGGUCCUCAUUUGAGUUUGGCCCUAGGCCGACGUCCUGCUAAUAAUGCCAGUACGUACCUUUUCUUUACUGGAAAAAGAAAGCGAAAAUCUUACACAGACAUGUGUUCACCAAAAGUUGAUCAUCUUCUUUGCUCUUAAUUUGUCUUGUAUGAGUACAAUUGUGUACAGGAACAUAAGGAAUAACAAAAAGAGUGAAUGUUAACAAGCAGUGUAAUGCCUGUUAACAUCCAGUCAUUUGAUGCUGUGUAUUUGCAAGAUGGGAAAUUAAAGAAAAGUGAAUAAUGAAUAUGGCACCAUAUUCUGCUUCCUUUUUCUCCCCACUUGGCUUUAUCUCAGUACUGUACUUUUAUAAACAGUGUUAUCAAAUUAUCCGAAAAAACAGUGUUUAUAUCCACUGUCAUAUUCUCAGGCUCGAAAAAAUUGAUGCAGAAUACUAUUUAAGUGCAGAAGUUUGAGGUGUUCUCGCGACAUUGUGUCUGCAUCAAAGGAAGAAGUGAAACUCGGUUUCCAGUCUAAUCUUAUUCUUAGCUUUCUUACCAUACUCUCGGCUGCUUAUAGGAUCAAUGUUAGCCAAAUCGUGAUGAGAACAGAUAAAUUGAUUUAUUAUAUUCAACCAGAUGCAACUUUUCUUGUCAUAUGUAUACAGAAGAAUGCUUCUGCUAGAAGACAUGAUUAUGAAACAAAACUUGGUAGUUUGUACUUUCUAAUACCAAAAUCUCAACUACAUCUAUACACAUACAAGAUUUAAUGAAGGUGGCUAUAAAUUAUAAUAUGUAUUGUAAUACUAUCCUUAAAUCUGUACACUCAUAACAAUGGCAGGUCAAAUGUGGGGAAGCAGCCAGAGAUUGAAAAGAGACGAAGCCAACGAAAGGGACCACGAGAGGAAGGCCAUGGUAGCAGAUAGCUGAUAUCUGCUGCAAACUUUUGAAGGGCAAUAUGGUGCAUCUGCUUUCAUCAGAAGAUCAGCUACGCUAGCUGUUGAGCAGGCUCCAGCAAGCGUGAGAAUUGACAAAACCUGUCAAAAUAAUUAAAACUUCAAAUUUUAGAAUAUGACCUAUGCUGAGAAAAUAUCAGAAGUCUGUGAUCAGGGAGUAACUUAACUUACAGUAUCGCCUAUAAUGAUCAUCACUAGUAUUGCCAUUCCGGAUCGACGUAUAGGGCAUUUAACCAGGACAGAGUAUCCAUCAAUCAGGGCCAAAGUAAAACUCCACGGGAUCACCAAUCCCAUGAUUGUUACCAAAAAGCUGUGAAAUGAGCAAAAUGUAUAGAAGAUUUGUGUUCAGAAAAUGUACUAUGGACAACAGGAAAUUGUUGCAGCAAUGCAAGAUUGUCCAUCAUCAAGUGAUAUCAAAAUUACCAAUACUCGUGUUGCAGGAGCAUUGUAGUAAGACCUUUUUACAUCAAAGCUCUCGUUUUCUUGUUUUUUAACACUAACCCUUCAAGUUUAUGACAAUGCCUAAGAGGUUAUUGAGUAAUAAAAAGGGUUCUACAUUCUGACAUGCUGAACUUUUUCACCGGAAUGAUAAUUUCUUUAUACCUCUCAACCGCGGAGAUGUGUAUCUACAACUAGGUGUUGAGUUCUACAGAUGAUAUGUGUAUGGAAUGAUUUAAUAAAUUACAUACUCUAAGAUAACUCUAAGAUAAGACUGCAAAAUUCUAUCACAUAAAGCUUUAAGAGCACUAGAUCAGAAGAGAACUGCCAUGUACAGAAUUCACAUAAAGUUGCAGGAAUUUGAUGCAUAGGAGCCUGUGGUCUAUGGACAUCUACGCACUUGAGUAGGAGAUAAUCCGACAUUGAUCACAGUAUCAGUCACCAGAAUUGCAAAUAAGAGAACUACAGAAACUUUACGAGGAUAAGAUAUGAAAAUUACCAGAAAGAGGUAUAACUGUAGAAUGGAACACCAAGGGACAUGAAGAGAAGAGAAGCAGAAGAGAAGAUGGUUUGGCCCAGUCUCAAAGCUAAGCUAGCACUGGUUCCAACAGAGCCUGGUACUUCAUCCAUGGCCAUUCUGAGUUUUUCGAUUGUUAUUCUGUACUGGCACAUCCUUAUCUGAUCAUCUUUUUUCUUGACUUCUGAUCACUCAAGCAACUAUCCAUCAAGCUGAUCAUAAUAUUUCACAAAUUUUCAAGCAACCAAGAAUAUAAUAAAUGUCUGUGUGUCUGCGAGCAAUGAAUGUAAACGAAAAACGGAAGACAGAGUGUAUUUGAUUUAUAUCUACAGUCUAGUUGUUUUGCUGGAGAUAUUUGGCAGGGAAGAAAGAACUUGUGAUCACUUUUACUUUGUUCAAACUCAGGCUUUGUAGGCUUCCCUUACUUUUAACAAGCAAUAUAAGACCAAAUAUAUAGUCACUGCUUUGCUUUUGUUUAAAAGUGUUAUUGACUGAAUGAGUCUGAAUAUUGUGAAAAAGAGAAAACUAGAGUGUUUACGGACUCAACCUCUCUCCUUCACGGAUUAAGGUAAGUUCUGCGUACAUCUAAAUCUCACUAACGCUACUUAAGUGAAAUACUAGAAUAUAUUUCAUUUUUUCAUAUUUGGUUAAUUCAAAAAAAUGAAAUUGACCUAAAAUAACAGUCUUCCAUUCAGCAUCUUUAAGCUCCUUACAAUUUUGGCAGUUGAUAUGCACCAUUCAAAAAGGGCCCCUCAAUAAACUGAGUUUGAUUGAUGCAACCCAAGAGAUUAAUUAAUCAACCUACACAUCAAAGCAUUAUCUCAUAAUUCACUAAUGGCUGCUUGUGUGACUCCCAUACAAUUCAAUCCUAUAAUCAUUAUGAUUAGCAUAUAUACUCCCAACCAUAAAGUUAAAGUUGCAUUUCUUAGGUGUGUGGUUGUUGCUACAUCUUUGUGAAUGGCAAUAUUUUGUAUUGCUCAAGGUAAAGUACCAAAUAUGACACACCAAAGAAAGAUGAACAAUGAGAAGAUGACAACCAGUGCUUUUCAAGCAGUGCAUUUGCUCCAGCUUUCACUUGCUACUGUUGAGGAAUAUUGAAGAUCUGGUGGAGCUUAACUGCUCAAGAACCACUAGAAGAAAAUAUAACAGCAACCUAACAUAUGUUAACAGGUUCCGAAAUUUAAUGUGAAGCAUAACUAUGAUUUCCGGACAUCAAAUUACUUGAGAUUUGAAAAUUUAGCUAGUUAUUCAUGAAUUAGGGUUUAGAUCAUGCUGUCAUAUAUACUCUUACGCCUUCCUUAGUCAUUGAUAAGCUAUGUUACCCCCGACUCUUCAUUUUGCCUCGAGUAUCCGUGUCGGACACUUAACACUCGGACAUGGCUAUGGACAGUUUAGAUGAAAGAGCAUGUAAUAUUACCAAUAUAUUGUAUUUAAAAUUCAGACAACACUUAUGAAGGGAGCCAAAUUGAUGAUCAUAAACACUAUAUGUAUCAUUUAAGAUAGCAGGUCUGGAAAACUAAGUUUACUUUCGAUUUAAGGAUUUAAGUAAAUUUGCAGAAAUAUCCAAAAGCUGCAAAUAGAUUUCAUGCAUGACAUUCUAAAAGGAAAGAUUACUAGAAUUCAGGUUCCAUUUUCCAGGCAUCUGCUUCUUUGCAAGAACACCUGCAUACCAAACAGACAUCUGCAUUUUAAUCAAUCAACGACAAAAAACGCAAGAGUUACUAAACAAGUUCAUGCCGAAGCAAAAUGCCAAAAUCUUACAUAUUAUAAAUUUUCAAUUCUUUUAGCCUUUAGGUACACCAAAAGCCUCCAUGAAUCAUAGUCAGUUCCAUGUUUCAGCAUAACUGUGAAAUAUAUAUGUAGCGAACCUAACACAGGAACAGGGAAAACCUGAUCAGAGGUCCAGAACUCGAAUCAAUCUUUGAAGCUCGUCAGCACUAGCAUAGUACUGCAAUUUAUAAUCCAGCAGCCAUAUCACAUUCAGAACACCGUGACCUAAUUUUCCAAAUUGAGGGCAUUAUUGUUAGCCGACAAAGUUCUCCAGAAACGCAGCAGAACACAUAAAUUACCUAAGCUAAAACCUGCUACACCAAGAAUCUUCAAUCAAAUAAACUAUUUCAGUUAUGCUCCGGUGCUUAACUUUAACUGCAUUAAACGCCAUCACAUCCUAAUCAGGCGACGAGUUUCUAAAUUUUCUCAGUUCAACUGUCAAGUAUCUACUUACUGGUUACUAGCACACGAUUAUAGCAAACAGAUUAAUCUUAACCGAACAAUUAAGGCUGAAUUAUCAUCUACAACGACAGAAUGAUGUCUGAAACCCUAAAUUCGAAGCUGUUUCAUAUCUUCUUCUUUAUCAGACUUCUACACAAACAUUUAUUCUGACACACAAAACUCAAACUAAAGAUUAUGUGCAUGCAAGAACAUAUUAUGACAUGGAAUACAGAUAAAUUUGGGCCCCCGAAAACAUAUCUGGGCCGGAUUCUUCUACCAUACCAAUCAGCCCAAAUUAAGAUCACUACUGUAAUGAACACAAGUAACACAACUAAAACAACAAACUCACUCUCCAACUCCCAAGCUCAGUUCUUUCUUAAUACACACAAUUUGACCAGACCCCAACCAAUCACCGACCUCCACGUGUACACUCCACUACAAACUCCCACACUGACCAAAAGUCAAACUUCAUUACUUCACACAUCACAUGUCAAUCUCUCAAGUCUCAAGCCUCAACUCAGCUUCACUUCCAUUUCAUUACAAACUCAACUCACUCCCCUCCCUUGUCCUAACCCCUCUAAACCCCUCAAACAUGUUCCCAACAUCCCCCUCCCCUUCCCCCAGUCCACAAAAAACUCGGAACUCCGACAUUAGUACGAUAUUGUCCGCUCCGUCCCCAUCUCCUUCCCCCUUCCCCUCACAAAUCCAAUCACAAUCCGCCACAUCAUCACAAGCCGUGAAAUUCACACCACCACUAAUCGCAAUGGUAGCCAUCGUCGCCACCGCCUUCCUCCUCAUCACCUACUCCCGCCUCCUCUUCCGAAAAUUCCUCCACCUCCGCGCCAAAUUCCGCCGCUACCGCCGCCGCCGCCGCCUCAUCACCUCAUACAACCCCUCCUCCGCCGGCGACAUCGCCGCCGAAUCCCCGCCCUACAUCUCCGAUCACAUCGAAAACUACCAAAUCUUCUCGCCUUACGGCCUCGAUGACUCGACGAUCAAAACAAUCCCCCUCACAAUAUACACUCGCAAGAGCAUUUCACACGAAUGCGCCGUGUGCUUGCUCGAAUUCGAAGAAAGCGAAUACAUACGCACGCUGCCCGUUUGCAACCACACAUUUCACGUCGAUUGUAUCGACAUUUGGCUCCGAUCACACGCCAAUUGUCCGCUCUGCCGAACCGGAAUUUUCCGGCCGAGCUCGCCUUUUAUCCCCGUAAUGGCGUCGAGAAUCCGGCCGAGCCUCGACGAAAUAAUCCUCGAAAGCACCAUUCUAGAAACCUUAACCGAAACUCCGCCUCAUUACGACACCACUGCCGAUGAAAUCACCGUUGAUUUAUCAGAAGACCGGUUAAUUCGGCGUAAUUUUCUGCUCAAGAGGUCGUAUUCUUUCGGUUUCGAACGGAAUUUAGGUUCCGAGAGAUUACUAAACGAGCCUGCCAUGACUUCUCCGUGGCGGUACCGGAGAAGUGGAGGCUUCUGGAGCACUAAACGUCCUUCGCCAUUUAGUACCUUAACAAAACACCGCGUGUUUUCAUUAAGGUACUAUCGGGGAAUGAAAUCCCCGUUCUUCCGCCAGAAAGGCGUCUCAGGUCUUUCUGGCGGAAGCUUCCCAAUGUCCGAGUCAAGGUACGGUUGCGGGAGCUCGCGAAGGCGAAAGUCCUUCGCGAGCCCCAUGUUCAUAAGAUCAUCAGAAAGAAGAACAGUCCUAUCCUCAUCCUCAGAGUCUCGGUUACGGAGCGGUGAUCCCGAGGCACUAUUAUCACCGGACCGAUACAAUCGUCGUUAAAAAAUAUUAUAUAUGACACGUGACAUUCGGAAUCCAGUCCGGGAGCAUUAAAUGAUUGAGCUGAUCGGAGCAAGAUGUUAGGUGAGAGGGGGAGGGAGUAAUUAAUGGAGAAGCAGAGGGGUGCAUGUGAGAAUUAAUGGCUGCAGCUCAGCAAAUUAAAUUGAAGCGGCAUUUAUUAAAUUGGAGACAGCUUCUUCAGGGAUUGUACACUGCAGUAAGUGAUAUUUUUACACAGUUCAUAUUUGUAUGUAUAGUAUAUAUGGGACUGAUGAAGUGCAAACGUUUAUGCUAUUUACAAACUUGUGCCAGAUAGAUGUUUGCUCUUGAUCAGUUCUUUAUGGGAUGUAGAAUCAGACUCUGUUAUCAUAAUUUAUAACUUCAAAAUUAUAUACAUUUGUUUUUAUUUGGCACAUUUAUAUCAUAACUGACUCAGUCUGUUCUUAUGCUAUUUUUUGUUAUUGUUGUAAUUUUGUUGUAUCAAAAUUUUUGUUCAAAAGGUAUUUUGUAUAGCGCGAUCUCUAUAGGUUUUGCAUGCCUAGCUCGAUAAAAACUCGUUGAUUUUUGUUGUUGUCUAUGAUUUUUAUCGAUAUAUUUUGAAAGCCUAGCUCGAUAAAAUUUGUUGUUUUUAUAUUAUUAUUUAUAAUUUUGUUGUAUCAAGAUUUUUAUUCAGAAAGUAUAUAUGUAAAGGCUCGAAAAAAAUUUGAAAUAGAAUCUAAAAAUCUGCUUAAUUUGAUCUUUUUACGGUUCGAAUAGGGAUGUAAUAUUGUUGUUACUUGUCUUUAUCUGGUUUUUUUAUCGUUUAAUCUGAUUUUUUGUCAAAUUUCAUUUGUUUGCUGAUUAUUAUUGAGCGGUUUCUAUAAUUUGGUAAAAAGCAAGCUGAAUUCUUAUUGACCGGUUUCUCCAAUUUGGUCUUAUUGACCGGUUUAUCGCUGUUGAUGAUAAGACCGUCACUGAUGACGAAUUGAAGAUUGCAUAAAAAUUCGGUAUUUAUUUUCGAGAGUUUGGACAAGACUUAGUAGGUGUAAUUCAUAAAUGCUGAAACAGAGAUAGUAGUCUGUUAUUUGAACAUGGUUUUGGCACACAAGCUGUUUAGCACCACUGUAUACAUGUCACCUUAUCUUCUCAUCCCGGUGUCAGAACAAAAUUUAUCUGCAGCCGUAGCCUGAAGAUACUAAUUUGUAAGGUAUAUAAGCCUACAAAAAACAAGUUCGUUGGGUCGAAAGUCGAGAACAAAGACUUAUUUUCGGAUAAAAAUAUACAUUUUUAUUAUUUUUAAAAAUAAAUUCUUAUUUAUGAAAAAUAAAAAAUUACACACAUUCUAUAUUUCAGUUCUGACUUUAUUAACAAGAUAAUCAAAUGUCUAAUUAUUGACGAGAUAAUCAAGUGUCUAAUUAUUUGUCGUUAUUGGGACAUUUUUUAAAUUAUUUAUGGGGACAGGAGAGCUGUGUACGAUGGUUUGAGAUUUUUUGCUUGAAAUACAGCGAUAGACAUGUAGAUUGAUGUGCAUGCAUGGGCCUAGCAAAGCACUAACGGAGCGAGAGCUGAAUCAUUUCUGCUUUAUUUUAUACUUUUGGUUCAAUCUUGGGGAUAAUAAUCAUUCAUUUUUGUUUUUCUAUGCCCAACUUUAGCGGCUGGAAAAUUCUAAUGACUCGCAACAUUCUUUGACUAAUUGUACCCUUGCUUCCAGCAUUUUUUAUUUCUAACACGGAUAGUAACAUGUAUUUAAUAUUUAAUUUUAUAAAUUGUUUUUAAAUUAAUUAAUUUAGUUUGAAUUUUUAAUAACACGGAUUAAAAGAAUUAAAUUUAAUUUGAGAUGACAUAAUUUUGUAAAAAGGAGUUGAAAAAUAAAAAAGUUCAUAUUUUUAAUAUUUUUUUGACUAGAAUUUAUUUUAUGAAGGUGAUGUGGAAUAUGAGGGAGGUGAAGUUGUUGAGUGGGCUUUGUGGCCCACGACGGCCAUCUACUUGUUGCACUAUGAGUGGGAACAGGAAAUUUUAGUACAUGGGCCCAACUAAAAAUAUCAUCUUACAAUAAUAGUAUAAAUUUUACGAAGAUGUCUGCCAAUGUGAAAUCGUGUUUCCUAUGUUUCACCUUCUUCCCAGAAAACAGAUGUUGUAAAUCUGUAGAUCUUGGUGUCUUCUGGCUACUGAGUGUGUAUACAUUUCUAAUGUGAUUGUAAUUCUACAAAUACCAUUCACAUCUAGCCACAAAGAAAGUUUUAGUACUACUGUGUUGGCUUCCAAUAUCACGUUAUCAAUUAUUAAUGUCAGGAUGAAUGAUGAUAUGAAUAGAUGAUCUCGAAUAUUUUUUCAUUAACGUCGCGUUGUGUAGCGUUUUGGAUAUUGAUAAGAAAAAAAAUCACACUGUUGGAGGGGUUAAAAACGCUACUCCGUGUAGUGUUUUGGAUAAUAAUAAAAAACGUUAUAUUAUUACUGGGAUUAAAAAAAGUUAUUUCGUAUAGCAUUUUGUUGGGUUAAAUAAAAAAGUGCUACACGAUCCAGUGUUUUCUUCCAAAAUUGAAAACGCUAAAUUAUCCGGUGUUGAUAAAUGGUAUUUGAGACUUUUUUCACUAGUUCUUGGACAUUAUUUAUGUGUUCCACAACAACCGCAAUUUUUUUUCUUAAGAUUAUUCACUAGAUAUCGUAAUUUUCUCAUUUUAAAUAAAAUUAUUCAACAAUUCCACAUUUUCAAAUAAAUAUCCAACACAUAAUAAGAAUCGGGUAUCCUGACACAGUUACAACCACAGAAAACAAAAAAGCGACUAUAGGGGUUAACGAAAGCCGUUUGACUUAGCUUAAAAGAAGUGACUUAUUACUUAAAAUAAAGAAGAGAAUUAUAAGUAAUAAGCGAACUUAACUUAUAAGUUAUCAAAAAUGUUUGGAUAACUUCACUUAUAAAUCAAUUGAGUGUUUGGUAAUUUAAAUUUAUAAAUUAGAAAAAUAAUUCAAAUCAUAAAAAUACAAAAAACAUUAUUAAUAAAUAAAAUUUAUUACGUAUUAAAAUUUUAAAAACUUCAUAAAAAUACAAAUCACAAAAAAAAAGCUCAAAAAAGGCUAGCAUUUGUAACUUCCAACUUCUAGCUCCGAAACGCUGAGAAGCCCCUUCCGACUUCUGCAGCCAAACGCCAACAAAGAAGCUGAACUCAACUUUUAUAUAAAAAAAAGUGGGAAGUGGGUGUUCCCAAACACCCACGAAGUUUUUUUUGCCUAAACUUACGAAUGUCAUUGUUUGGCUAGUACAAUAAUUAGAAGUCCAUGGAUCAUGGAUAGCUCGUACGACCAUAUAUAAUGCUGGUCAGAGUAAUUGUAAAACAACAGCAUGCUGUUACAGACUUUCAAUAAUGAAUCAGAACAAUGAACAUAGAGUAACAAACAGAAAUCAGCUCAAGCUGUUGAUUUAUUACACUCAAGCAAACAACACUAUAAACAUACAAACAUAUAGCAAGCUGCAAACAAAACAAGACAUCUAUAGGAGUAUGAGUACUAGAGACCAGACUGGAUACACCAGCAAAAGAAUAAUGCCAACCGAGUUUGAAACGCCAUGGCUCUUCGUGAAUGAGUUCCUGAAUCCUCCAGAUGCGCGUAUGUGUUCUUGCAACAAGUAACACCCGAUGCCAAGGCAUAUCGCUACGCCAAUCCAGUCGUUUCUUAUGGUAUCUGCAAGGAAGCUAGGCGACACUACUAGAAUAAGGAUCAACGCGCCAGGCAUUUCCAGAUGUUCUGCAUUUAAAUUUACGAUAUUCAUCAGAGAUGCCAAGUAAUUCCUUGUUUGUAUUGUAACAGGUAUAAGAAUGUUAUAUUAAGUAUGACAAAUUGAAAAAAAUAAAAAUUCAAACAUAAGAAAAAAAAUUCUGGAUCCGUCACUGCAUAACACAAUGAACUAUCAUCCUGAUUUUAUUGUGACAACGUCGAAUCAGUAAUUAAUACUUAUAAAACGUUGUAGCAUAAGAAUAAUUUAACAAAUUAUGAUUUUUGGACAAGGAUCAUACUCGGGACAUGAUCAGGAAAGAACAGGCGCAGUACUACUGCAACAAAAGCAAUCCAUUUACCGAAUUCUCCCCUGCAUCUCAAAUUAAGAAACUUUAAUCGAAGAACUAAUCGAAUUCACCGAGAAAAAUCGAAGGAUGAUCACCUGAACAAGUUGAAGAGUAUCGAAGGAAGAGUCAAGAAUAUGUAAGGGACUAGAAGUGCUGUCAGAAUCUUGGUUCUCCAGUUGGUUCUAUCCAGGAUCAACAGAUAACUACAGAACAACCAGUAUAAAAUUUUGCUAAGUUAUGUUUCCGAUAUCAAGAUUAUAAAUUUGGAAAUGAAACAAGUAAAUUCUAUGAUCAAACACAUGAUACUAAUAAGUAUAGUUACAAUUAUACAAAUAUUAAAAGCUCAAACCAAUCUGAGAAAGCACAGAUGAUCAACACUAAAAUUAAGAGGGAGAGAGGGAGAGAGAGAGAGAGAGAGAGAGAGAGAGAGAGGGAGGGAGAGAUCCACAGAAUGCAAGUGUAAGAUCUUACAUAGCUGCAAAAGAGGCAACCCAUGCCAGAAAAGAGGUUCCAAAUCCAAGCCCACCAAGCGUAACAGCAUGAUUAGCUAGUUUUUUAGCAACUUCACCAAGUUCUUUAAAAUCAGAACUCAGAACUUCACUGGCCAUUGUAUCAGUCUUCAUUGCAAUAAAACCUCUCUGCUUCAUGACCUUUUCUUGUUCAAUUGACAACUCCAAGAAACUUCUUAUAGCCUCUGAUCAAAUCUUUAUCCACUUGUUUUGUUAUAUAAUAUAGUUCUAAAGAUAUGAUCUUGACAUAUUUUUCAAUUUCUUAAUUUAAAAUCAAUCAAGCUGGAUCAUGAGUUGUUAAAUUAUAGAAUAGAGUUUGGCCUGCUCAUUUUGGCUGUAAUGAUGCAUUAGCCACGUGUACUCUAUAAUUAACAGGUAGAGAUUAGAUUUGACUUAGCAAUCAUGCUCUGCCACUUGUAAAUUAAGUUAGUUCCGUGUGGUAGUGUAUAGAUUGCCUUUCCUUUUUUUUCUUUUUUUAAUAUUAUAUUUAAACGAGGUGACCAAGUGAGGCAGUUAGCUACGUAAUUAAGAAUUCGUAAAAUAAUUGAUCCUACGGAAUAUUUUGCCGUUUCAUUUUUAUUGGUUGAAUCAUUUUACUUAAGAAUUUAUAUAAAAUUACCCCUUAUCAGUCAAUCACCCAUGUAUUUUUAUUCCACCGUUUUGAAUAUCUCUAACCACUUGUAUCAUUAUUGAAGUUUUCAGAGAAAACGGAGAAAAAGUAACGAAAUUGAUAGUUUGUUUUCUAGAUUUAUCAUUUUCUUAUAUAAAUUAUAAUUCAUGUCAAAUGGUAAUUCUACAAGUAUUGUUGAUACAUCUGUUGAUGACCUCCGCUCUAUCUUACUUUUUUUUUUGUUAGUAAGAACUUCAAUUUUCUUACUUAAGUAAUAGUAUCCUGAAGUUGUGUCUUAGAGAGUAAAAUUUAAGGUAUUUGAGAAAAUAUUGUAAUUCAACAGUCCCGUUGCAUCUUAAAAUAUUAGAACACAAUAUCUGUCUCAUUUUUGAGACACUAUCACACUUGUCUUAAACUAUUUCAAUUCAUAGAAUAUUCACUUCCCUCUCUUUUUACACUUAUCUUAAAUAUAGUUUUAUUCAAAUAUAUUAAUAUUUAAAUAUUAGAGCAUGAGGAUAAGACAUGUUCUUGAAGUAGAUGUACUUGUAUAGUGUCUUAAAUCACUGCGACGUAAUAUUUUAUUACAUAUUUAAGACUUAUACUAGGACCUUGUCAGACUUGAGUUAAGCUGUUAACGAAUAAGUUAAAAGUUGAACCAGUUUAGUUAUGUUGUGAUCAAUUUUGAGCUUGAAUAGAAUUAUUUUUUCGUUAAGAUGUUCGAGACGUGUGAAGUAUUAUUAGUGUUCGAUUCGACUCGUUAAAGUCGAACUCGAUUUUUCAAUUGUUAAUGUGUAAAAAAAUAUGUAUAAUGUAAUAUAAUUUUUAUUAUCUUUUUGAUAUUUUCCUAAUAUUAUUAAAAUAACUAGAUCUUAACACCCUUACGGUUAAAUUGUCAAGAAAUUUUUUGGAAAGAGAUAUAAUAUCAAUUCAGAGACCAGCCGUGUUUAAAGUAAUAAAAAUAUAACUAGCUAACUAUUAAAAUUUCACAUUAAAUAUACUUUAUUUUUUAAUAUUAUUAUGACAUCACAAAAUAAGUAGAUUAUAACAUCCUUGCGGUUGAAUCAUAAAGAAAUUUUUUGAAAAAAUAAAAUAAAAUAUCAAUUCAGGACCAUACAUGAUACAUGUUUUUAGGGGUAGUAGUUAUUUUUGACUAUUAAAAUUUCACAUUAAAUAUAUUUUUAUUUUUGAUAUUUUUGUAGUAACAUUAAAAUAAAUAUAUCCCAACAUUUGUGUUGUUGAAUAUUCAAGAAAUAUUUUAAAUAUUAAAUGACUUUUUAAGAAAAGAUAAAUUUUUACGAACUACUCGACUCGACUGGAACUCGAAUUGUUCGUGAAGAACUCGAACUCGAUUCGGUUUUUAACGAAGUUAAGUUCCAACAACAAAUCUUGUUAAUAAAUUUUAUAAUCAAACUCGACUUGCUAAAUAAAAAUUUGAGCUCGAUAAAUAAAAACUAGACUCAACUCGGCUAAGUUCGUCUACGAUCCUCGAAAAUAAUCAUUCAAAUAAUCUUUUAGUAUUGACCGCUCGAAUCCAAACAAAAAAUUAGGCAAAUAAAUUAUCAAACGGUCAUGACGAAAUUCAUAUCAUCAACUCUCAAAUUUGAUAUCCUUUGCAAUUUUUCUUUCUCAAAUAUCUGAUUUUCAACUUCACGAGAAGAAGGCUACUCUAUUUUUUUUAAUUGAAGAAUAGUAGUUGCACCUCGACAUAGAUGGUGACCAGCACACAGCUUCCUGUUACAAUGAUUUUUUAUAUUUAGCGUGUAUAAAAUUUUCUGGAUUUUUUGAAAAAUAUCGAAAUAUAGAAUAAAAAUCCUCGAAUUAUCUGAGUCGGCCACCCAGUUAAGUAAUCAUUACAUGAUCAACAUCAACUUAUGACUUCGUCAUGCAUUUGCGAAGUCACACUGACUUUCCUAGUAAAAAUCAAAAUCUAGUACGCGUUUUGACGUUGAAGAAUUAGUCAUUGCCCCCCUCACCAAAGUCUUUUCAAGUCUUCUCUUCAAGUCUCACGUUCUUUUACUUUCAUGGUAUCUUUAAUCAUAACAAGAGUGAUCACUCUUAUUCUUUCAUUUGUUUUUUAUGUGCAAUUUUGAUCUAAUUGUUGUACAUGCAUGAAAGUAAUCUUGGGUUUCAAUUGGUAAGUGAUCAAGUACUAGAUGAUUCUUUUUUUCCUUGUAUAUAUAAUUGAAUACACUCUCGCUUGUCUUAUACUCCGUUUGUCCCAUUUAUUUAUAUACGUUUCUUUUCAACUGCUCGACACGCAUUUUAAUGCUCUUAUAAAAUAUAGUUCUGUAACUUAUUUUUGAGUUCUCGAUGUUUGGUUAAAGCUGUUGAUAUUAGAUUUUUUUGUUUACCGGAGAUAGAAUAGACAGGAAGGUGGUUUUUGUUGAUUCAGUAUGAAGGCUGUUUUCUGAUGGGGUUUAGGAUUAUAUUUUUGAAAUCGAAAAUUUGGAUUGAAGUUCUGUAAUGGCUAGUGUUUUUAAAAGAUUUGUCCCGGAGAAACGGUUAGGUUCUGAUGUUGAUGAUGAGUACAAUUCGGAGUACUCUUUUGCGACAGAGUACACUGGCCCUCUUGUUAGUUAUGAUGUUCCUUGUGUAGCCCCGGUGCACGUUGAUCGAAUUCCGAUAGCAGCUAGUAUAGCCACACCUGAUAGGACUAAGAAUAUGGCACUUCCAGUUGUUCAACCUGUUGCAAGGGUUGAUUCUGGGAAGUUGUCAAAGAAGUCGAAAAAGGGGUUAUUAGGAGAUGCUUCUUCGAUGUCAGUUACCCAUUCGAAUGAACUUGAUGUUGCUCGUGUACUCGAUGUUUCUAAGAGGCAUAGGACAGAUUUUAGAGUGGUUAAUGUGCUUGAUACAUCGGGUGAGUUAGAGUUUUUGGAGACUGAGGAAUGCAUCCACCGCAAUUUGAAUAGAUGUGCUAGUUCUGGUACUUUGGGGUUUUCUGGGAGUCAUGAGACUUCCUGUGAGCUGUCAGAAAGCUCGGGUAUGGAGUCCUUACAUGAGGAUAAAUAUAACGGUGCUUCCUUUAAGGGCCAUGAACAGGAAGCGGUGAAAUGUACAGUGAGGAAAGGGUCAUGUCAUCGAUGCCUUGUUAAAAUUAGGUUCAGGGAGAAGGAAGUUUGCAUAGUCUGCAGCGCAAAGUAUUGCUCUAGUUGUGUACUAAGAGCAAUGGGGUCAAUGCCAGAAGGAAGAAAAUGCAUUACUUGCAUUGGUUGUAGAAUAGACGAGUCCAAGCGAUCUACCCUUGGAAAAAGUUCUAGGAUGCUUAGGCGUCUGCUCACUGAUUCGAGAGCUAAAGAGAUCAUGAGCCAUGAGAUAUCAUGUGCAGUGAAUCAAAUACCACCUGAACUUGUCAUUGUGAACGGGAAGCCUCUCUGUCACGAAGAGCUAGUUCAAUUGCUUGGCUGUCCAAAUCCCCCCAGAAAGCUAAAGCCCAGAAAGUAUUGGUAUGACAAGCAAUCUGGACUUUGGGGCAUGGUAAGAAGUUGGUCCUUAAGUUACUUUUCUAUAAAUCAUAGUUGCUAUCAGUUGUUAUCUUACAUUUAAGCUUAAUCAAACAGGAAGGAGAGAAACCUUGCCAGAUUAUUACUCCACAACUGGCUGUUGGCGAUCCCAUCAUGAAAAAUGCGAGCAAUGGGAACACAAAUAUCUUGGUUAAUAAUCGGGAAAUUACCAAACCUGAGCUCUGGAUAAUGCAGGUUUGUUUUCUCAAGUGAAUAAACACAUCAGUCUUUUCUCCCUUUCCUCUCUUUGUUUUCUUUCUUUCACAAAGGCAGGUUUCUAUGUUGUCUAUGAUAAUAUGCUUGACCAUUACGUUAAAAUUUGUAGUUUGCAGGAAUCCGUUGUGAAGGGCAGCCACACUUUUGGUGUAGCGCUGACGGUUCCUUCCAGGAAGAGGGACAUGGGAAUGUAAAGGAGCGAAUAUGGUUCAAGGUACAUAUUCUUGCAACGAUCGUCAUGCUAGUUCAUCCUUAAUCAACAAUAUUAUGUUAUCUAUUCAUUUAUUGUAACCUUUAAAAUUCUGUUUUUAGCCAAAAAUCAAACUACUGUGUUCAGUCCUGUCAUUGCCCAUCCCGCCAGAAUCUGCAAACUCUGAUCAAGGGAAAGUUGACGAUAAAGUUGUGUUUAGCACUCAAAAGAGAAACGAACCAUAUAAAUUACUCAUGGUUGGUUAUGAAAAAUCUGGCACGAGUACCAUAUUCAAACAGGUAUGAUUUCCUUCCGACAAUAUUGUGAACUUUGAUGUUAAAUUUAGUUUCAAAAGUUCCAUUUAAGGUAUCUAUAUCUCCAUUUCUGUGAAAGUAGAAGCUCGUCUUUAGGAACUGUAUCCUGUUUACGUCUCCAUGUUUAAACUUUUAUGGGAAAAUAAUUUCAUGUUUUAAGCUUGUGAUCUUAUAUUCAUAUUUCAGGCAAAACUUCUAUACAAAAUUCCUUUCACUGAAGAUGAGCGGCAGAAUAUGAAAAACAUCAUUCAGAGCAACUUAUACCGUUACAUAGGUAUUCUGCUCGAAGCACGUGAACAAUUUGAAGAAGAAACUCUAAAUGAAAUGAGGAUGAAAUUCAUUAAUCAACCUGGUCUUUCAGGUACAAAAAGUAUCAAAUUCACUUAUUUUCUUUGUUAACAGCAUACUCGUGCACAUAAUUUCUCUCCUGCAAGUGGCUUGUAGUCAAUUCUAGUCCAUUAUGAUUAACCAAAUUCCAGCUUAAUAUGUUUUCUUUUGUUGUUGAUAUAAGUGACUUGAUUAUAAUUGUACAGAUACAGCAGAUAUUAAUCAGAUUGACAAGGCAAACAUUUACUCCAUUGGUCCCAGGCUUAGAGGAUUCUCUGAUUGGUUACUCCAAAUUAUAAUGUCUGGAAAUUUGACAGCGGUUUUCCCUGCUUCCACUCGCGAGUAUGCACCCUAUGUGGAGGAACUCUGGAAGGAUAAAGCCUUUCAAGCCACAUUGGAUCGAAGGAAUGAGAUACAAACGCUUCCUAGAGUUGCUAACUAUUUCUUGAAUCGGGUAAGCUCGUGAUUUCUGUUCCUCAGUUAUGCUUCGAGUUCUGUAUGCUCAAGGUAACAUAAUAUUAAUAGACACAUUGAUGGUAACACUCAAAUUUGACUUUUUUGUUUUCCAAUCAAGGCUGUUGAGAUCUCGUCAAUGUACUACGAGCCUUCUGACAUGGACAUAUUAUAUGCCGAGGGGAUUGCUGCUUCAAACGGUAUAGCUAGCAUGGAUUUUUCCUUCUCAAAGUCGAAAAAGGAUAGCAUCUUGGACUCUAAUGAUGAAGAUGAUCCCUUGAUAAGGUUUAGUACUUUUUUAUGCUUUACUCAUUAAACCGAUAUCUUGCCUAAGCCGUUUAACCAUUGAAUUGUUAGUAUACAUCCUUGUUCCUUAUCACAGCUUAAUAUGGUAAACUGCAGUUACCAACUUAUGAGAGUUCAUUCAAGCAACCUCGGCAAAAACUGCAAGUGGAUGGAAAUGUUUGAGGAUAUGGAUCUAAUUAUAUACUGUGUUUCCUUAACGGAUUAUGAUGAGUACUGCUCUGAUAUCAACGGAGUUUCUACCAACAGAAUGAUGGAAAGUAAGAAGCUAUUCGAGACCAUAGUGACACAUCCAAUCUGUUCUCACAAAAACUUCCUUCUGGUGCUCAACAAAUAUGACCUCUUGGAAGAGAAAAUUGAACAGGUUCCUCUUACUCGUUGUGAGUGGUUCCGCGACUUUAAUCCUCUGAUCAGCGGUCAACAGAGCAGCAGGAGCAGCAGCAGCAAGAAUCCAGUUGCAACACUGGCUCAAAGUGCAUUCCAUUAUAUUGCGGGGAAAUUUAAACGGCAGUUUCAGUCCUUGACCGGAAAUAAAUUGUAUGUUUUUCGGGUUACAGGGCUCGAAUCAGACAGUGUUGAUGAAGCAAUUAAAUAUGCAACAGAGAUUUUGAAGUGGGAGAAUGAAAAGCCAAACUUCAGUAUGAAUGACUGGUCAUCUGGCAGCAUUGAGGCUACCACUACUACAUGAUUGUAGGUACAUUCCUUUUUCUAGUGUACUUGCCACAAAACUUGUAGAAUCACAGAUCAGAAAUAACUUCUUACAUAUAUAUGUACAAAGAAGCUUAUCAUCAAGCUUACAUAUAAAAUUUUGAAAAUUUUACAUAAUUUUGGUCUGAUACACAUGUUCAAGUGUCGAGCGUCUGAUAAUUAUAAUGAGAGUCAAGGCAAAAUAAAGAGUCGGGGCAACGGAUGUUUACAUAUAUUUUCUUUUUCAUUACAAGCAAAGAAAACAACUGCAUCACAAAGCUCACUCCUAUACUUGCUACAUACUCCACAAAACACACACAUAUCUACAAACAUCUCGAAACCUCAGUAAAUUCUGAUCUGCAGCCAAGUAUAGCUGGAGUUAGCACAUACCACCAACCCUAGUUCUUGGUUUCAAGAUGGUGCAAACCUGUCCAUGAUCAUGAAAAUGGUAGCUUCCGAAAAACCACCAUCUUCUCCCUUAGCCUCCACCGACGACUUCACAUCGCGUAAAGAAGCAGUUUUGCCUUCUUUUCCUUGUUCUCCAGGAGAAACUUCUGUUGCACAUCUGUUUCUGAACAAGAAAGACUUGUUCACCUGCAUUUUGUCCUUGAGUUUUGCUACCUCUCUCAUGCAUGCACUUACCAUCUGUGACAUUUUCUACAAAACCUAGAAUUCUUUGUCUAUUUAAGUUGUGUUUAGCUCACUGAUAUGAUUGUGUAGACAUGUUGUUGAUAUUUAUAUGGUCAUGGAUUAAACAGAAGAUAAGUGAAGGGUGAGGAAUCAGUGUGCUGUGCAACCAGGCAACUUGAGAAAACAGGGAUUUUGUAGUGCAUUAGCCCACUGGAAUUCUACAGGAUAUUCUAACAGAAUAUUGAAUCUGUUUAAUAUCCCUCCGUUUUUUAAUACCCCUGUUUUAUACUUGGUUUCACUAUUGUCACGUGAUUUUAGACUCUGAUUAUAUAAUAAAAAUUAUUAUAUUUAAAAUUUUAAAAUAAAAAUAUAACAUGAAUAUUUUUACUUAGAAAAGGGAUUUUGAAAAUUUUAAGUUUAAAUAAGUGAUCAAACUCCUAAAUUUUCGUGUAAAAGAAAAAACGACUUAUAAUUGGGAUCAUGGAGAUUAUAUGAUACUUUGAUUUUUGAUGCAUAUUUUUGAGUAUUUUGGUGGUAUAAUAAAAAUUAAUAAUCUUAAAUAAUUUUUUGUGAAAUUUUAAAUUUUGUUUAAAGAAAGCGUGAAAUAAAAACACAUAAAUAGUGUGAAGCGUCGUAGACUGAAAAACGAAGAAAACAUGUGGCUAAUAUCAAGUAUCUGCGGGCGCCUCUGCUGUUUGCCUUCUGGUGCUUUUACUUAAAGCAGCAUUAAAAUAAUUAAUUAACUUUGUAAAGUUAAGUAGAACUAGUGCCUGUUUAAAUCGAGAUAGAUUUGUUGAAAAUUUAUCCGAACUACAUUCGAAUUCGGUUAGAGUGGUUCGAUUAUUUAAUCAAUCGGAUAUAAAUUUUGAUCGAUCCGGUCAUUAUACGUAUAUAAUAUAUAUAAUAUAAUAUUGAGCAAACGAUAAAGCAGUGGCGGUAGUUUUUCAAAUUUUAUAAGGUGUUCGCUGAACUUUAAAAACUACAUAAUAAUGGCUGGAGUAUAUUUUCUCCUUUUGAUAAGUUGGCGUCCGUGAACACCGUUAUUAUUCUUCUGUUACUUUAAAAAAAUGAAAAAGUAAACGACAAAGUCUGAUCCAACUCGAUAGAAUUAUAUGAAUUAAGUCUGAUCCAAAUUAAAUCUAAUCUGUUCACAAGCCUAAUAAGGUACUGAUUGAAGCACUAGAACUUUUAAAAAUAUUUUUGCGCGCACUAGUCAGAGUUUGAAUGAAAUGAUUUGAAAUUUCAAGGUUGAAAAUCAAAACGAGUUCGCCAGAUUAUGCAUAGAGUUUCUCUAUACUCGUGUUUAGCAAAUUCUAAUAUUAUUUUCACGUUUCCUCCUACGUGUUUGUUGGAGGCCCUUUCUUUUGAUCUUUCUUGAUGAAUGUAUCUUCUGUUUCAAGAAAAAAAGGGUUGAAAAUGUAGGUUUCCAUUCUGAAAAGAUGAAAUCCGUUCCAAACAAGUGAAAUUUCAACAUAUUAUAAUCUAAACGCUUGAGAUACUGGUUUCGAUUAGCAAAUCAACAUCCCCUGAUUUAAACAAGGUAACAAUAGAUUUGUUGUCGGGUUCUCAGCGUUGUGCGUAAUUGCGAUAGGAUGAGGAUCAAUCGUUCAUGGUGUGAAGGCUGAUCGAAGAUUCAAUAAAUAAAAUUUGUGAGACACACACUAAGCUUUUAUGUGUUUCCGCUGUAUGCACAAUUUUUGAUUCUCUAUCUUGCUUAUAUAAAGAACCGGGUUCUUGUCAAUCAAUUUUCACAAUAACUUAUCCGAAUUUUAUUAAUGAAAAAAUGAAAUUUAUAUUUUUAUAUGAAUGUAAAAAUCAUGUCACUUUAAUAAAUUUUAGCUCCUUUUAUUGUCAAAAAAUUGGUUUUAAAAAUAAGCUCAGAUGUCCAUGUUUCUAAAAUACAACAUAUUGGUUGAUGCAUCUGUCCAUAAUUAAUUCACGAAACUAUAAGAUCAGUUAUCUUACACGAGUAAAUCAAAAAUAUAUGUACAUACUUCCGAAAAUAAAGUAAAAUACAUGUACAUGCUUUUAACCUAGGGUGAAAAACACACCCAACCUAUAAUAAAUAUUAGGGUACAACUUGGAUAAUUAAAAUAUCGAAAAAUAUGCGUAUUUUCGAAGAUUAUUAAACGGUCGAUUUUCAAGGGCUAAAGCACUCAACAACCAUGUAAACUGAGGUCUCCGAGUAGUGAAACCCUGCAGGUGAGUUGACACGCAAGAACCGAGCUCCGGUUGGCCAUGAACCGGCACCAGCUUCAUACGAACCGCUGUCUCGCUUCUGAGCUUCUUCACUAGCCAGCUGGCCGUCAGGGCUCGAGCCACUUGACCACAGAGUCUGACCCUUGCUGCACAGCUCUUGAACCUUCUUUGUCCAAGCAUCUACAACUCCAGCCAUUCUUUCUUUCAGAUGGUGUUUAUUUACUUGUAUUUGAGUGUUUCAAGUGUUUCAGUUUGUGAGAUGAUUGUAUAAUUGUUGGUGAAUAUACAUGAGGAAAGUGUGUAGUAUGGAGCAGUGAUAGAUAUUUGAUAAAGGGGCUAGGCUACAAAAACCAGAGGCAGCUGCCACUGGUUUGUUUUACAUUAAAAUAUUAUUAUAUUGUUGUUGUGCUUAUCCUGAUCAAUGAUCAAGAUAAGUUUUUUCAAUUAUCCAAAUCUUGACAAACAUAAGUAAGAUGUGACCUAAGAAACUAACAAAAUGUAAGAAAUAUAUAUAUAGGGGAGG
rnacentral:lncRNA from 1 species